rnacentral:lncRNA from 1 species
UUUAAGAGAGCUAAAACUAAGGGACUGCAAUCUUUGUGAAGGAGAUAUUCCACCUGAUAUUUCUGGUCUAUCCUCUUUGCUAUCUCUUGAUCUUAGUGGUAAUAAUUUCAUCAGCAUACCUGCAUCUCUUACUCAACUCUCGAAGCUUGAAAAUCUUUAUUUGUCAAAUUGCAACAUGUGCACUUUUGGUGAAGCAGAUACUCAUCGUGAUAUUUCUGGUCUAUCCUCUUUGAGUCAUCUUAAUCUUAAUGGUAACAAUUUCAUCAGUAAACCUGCAUCUCUUACUCGACUCUCAAAGCUUAAGUCUCUUGAAUUGUCAAAUUGCAACAUGUGCACUCUUGGUGAAGCAGAUACUAAUAGUGACAUUUCUGGUCUAUCCUCUUUGAGUUAUCUUUAUCUUUGUUAUAUCAAUUUCAUCAGCAUUCCUUCGGCUCUGACUCAACUUUCCAGGCUCAAAUUGCUUAAAUUGUCAGGUUGCAAGAUGCUUAAAUCGUUGCCUGAGCUACCAACAAGUAUAGGAAGUGUGACAAUAGAUAAUUGUUCUUCACUUGAAGUAGUUGGAAGUCCAUCAAAAGUAUGCAAUUUAGUGGGUCGUGAAAGCAUUCGUGCCAUUAACUACUUCAAAUUGGCUGAGAAAAUCAAUGCAGUAGCACUGCUGAAAGAACAUAUUAAGGUCUAUUAAUCUAUUUUUUUUUCUCCCUUACAAAAUCUCAUACUUGAGAAAUUGUGGUUUUAGUUACCAGACGACUUGUGUUUUAUUUUGCAGGCACUUCCAAAUUCUAGAAAAUUGUAUAAUGAUGGCGUCUUUGAUAUUAUGAUGCCCGGAAUUGAAAUUCCAGAAUGGUUUAGCCAACAAAAAAAUGACUCUUCAAUUAAGAUACCCCUACCUAUCAACCUUCGGAAAGAUGGUCAAUGGAUUGGAGUUGCUUGUUGCUGCAUUUUUGUCAAUAAUGAUGCUUCAUGGAAUAAGGAGUUUAUCAGCUGUAAAGGAUCUAUUUUUCGAGGUAGAAAUUGUCGACUAAUUUUUUUGAGAAAUCGGUGGGUAGGUCAAUCCUAUCACAAUCCCAUAAUGAAAGAUCACCUUUUUCUUCGUUAUUUUCCUCGUGAUGAAUUAUAUCCAAUUUCCUUGGAGGAUAAAUAUGGUGACUGUGAAACCAAUAAUUUAUGCACAACAGAUUGCUUAGAUCAAAUAUGCGAUGAGCUUGAGUUGUGUUUCAAUACCAAAUUUGGACCAAAUUCUGGUUGUGUUAAGGUGAAGAAGUGUGGCGUUAGAAUAGUGUAUGAGAAAGAUUUGGAAGAAAUGAAAGAGUUGCAGUGUCAUACCACUCAAUCUUCUCCAAAAUUUGAACACAUCCACCAACACUCUGCUCACAACCAUGGAUCAGUAGGUAGCACUUCUCACAUAAAACGGAAAUGUAAUAUCUAUGAGGAAACAGAGGAAGAAGAGCCGCAACCAAAGCGGAUGCAAAAUUUUUUCAAUUUUGUAAAGGGCCAAUCAAGAAAGAAGCAUUAACUGUGGUAAACUACUUAACCAACUUCGUCCUAUUAAUUGUAUUUUUACACAUCUUGUAUUCCAUUUAAACAAUUAUUCUAGACUUGUUUUGCAUAUGAGAUAUGAUCCUUCCAUUAUAUGCCAAAACAUUUUAAAAAAUUUUAUUCAUAUUCAUAUUCAACAUAUACAUAUUUUAAAUGUUGAUAACAUUAUUUUUUAUACCAUUUAAAAUUUUAGUCACUUAAGUCCGGUUGUUUGGGGUAAAACAUUUUUGAAGACAUAAUCAUGGAUAAUAAAAGGUAAGAAGACACAUAUACACUUAUAUCUAUGUGUGCUGUAAAUAAUUAUUGUUUUUAAAUAUGAUAAAAAAAACUAUAGCAAAACUUUUGACAUUCAAUAAUUCAAUGUUUAAUUAUGAAAUUUAUCUAGCAACAUAUUUACUUUUUCAAAAGAAUCAAAAGAGAAAUGUAUGUAUUUUUGAAAUAUUAAUGGUAUAUUUUUUUGUGAAAAUUAAUGGUAUAUAUUUAAUGUACUAAAAGUGUAUAUCAACGAAUUAGAUUAUAACAUGUCAUCGAAAUUUUUUUAAUGAAAAUAGUUUCAUUUUUAAUUAUGUGUCAUUGUUGGUUCAUUAACUUGUAAAUUAUGCUUUGUUUGCGGACCGAAUAUAAAUCAACAUAUUAAUUCAAUUUUUUAGGAUUAGGUAAUUUAACAUCGGAUGGGAUUAUUAGAUAUAAGUAUCUCUUUAAUAUGGCUAUGUUAAAAAAAUAUAUUUAAAAAUUGUUUUUAUUCACAUAUUUAAAAGGUUCUUAAAGGAUCAUAUCUUAAUACCCAUAUACGAAUAUGCAUUAGAUAUAAGUAUUGGAUACGAGUACUUAAAAAACAAUAUUGAUGUAACAUUUCUUUUAGAUAUUGAAUGUUUUUGUAUAUUUUGAAGCUCAUUUUUGUUUUGCUCAUGGAUAUUAGGGAAUCGAACAAGAUACUCAAUUUGAGUGUGGAUACCUUCUUGAAGAUGAAAAAAUUGAGAUUGCUUAAAGUGCUUUGCCUUUCAAAUUGUGAUGAUGAUCUCAAAUAUCUUUCUAAUGACCUACGACUUUUAGAUUGGACAGGAUACCCUUUAAGAAACUUGCCUUCAAGCUUUCAACCGGAUAACCUUGUCGCACUUCUUUUACCAUAUAGUCACAUUCAACAACUAUGGAAGGGAAAUAGAGUAAGAAUUAACUCAUCUUAUCCUUGUGUUUUAGCUUAUUUUAAUAUAAAUUAUUAAACUUUGAUUAAGGUAAAACAAAAAAACAAAAAUGAGCAUUAUUAUGUUUUCUCAUUUGUUUCUAAUUUAUUAUGGUCUUCAACAGCCCUUGUUUAACUUGAAAAUAAUGAACCUCAGAGGGUCUCAAAACCUGAUCAAGACACCAGACUUCACAACAGCAUCAAAUCUUGAAGUUUUGAUUUUGGAAGGUUGUACCAAAUUAGUGGAUGUUCAUCCAUCAAUCGGGGUGCUUAAGAGCCUUAAACUUUUGAAUUUAAGAGAUUGCAAAAGUCUUAGGACUCUUCCAACAAAAAUUGGAAUGGAAUCUCUUGAAACAUUCAUUCUUUCGGGUUGCUCAAGUCUUGUAAGGUUUCCGGAGAUUGAUGGGAAAAUGGAACGUCUAAAAACUCUAGAUCUUUUCGGUUGUUAUAGAGUGGAAAACUUAUCGGAGAAUUUGCAGCAAGCAAAGUUUUUGGAAGAGCUCGACUUAAGUGAAACAGCCAUAACAGAACCACCAUCCUUCAUUUUUCAAUUUAAAAAUCUUAAAGUUCUGUCUUUCAAUGGGCGCAAGGGACCAUCAUAUAAGUUGCUACCAAAUUUGCCUUCUCUUUUCAAGGUAAUCCAAGGAAGAAGGACGAAUCCCAUGGCUCGGAUGUUGCCUUUGUUGUCAAGUUUGAGUUCUUUAAGAGAGCUAAAACUAAGGGACUGCAAUCUCCGUGAAGGAGAUAUUCCACGUGAUAUUUCUGGUCUAUCCUGUUUGGAAAAACUUGAUCUUAGUGGUAACAAUUUCAUCAGCAUACCUGCAUCUCUUACUCGACUCUCGAAGCUUGAAAAUCUGACAUUGUCAAAUUGCAACAUGUGCACUUUUGGUGAAGCAGAUACUCAUAGUGACAUUUCUGGUCUAUCCUCUUUGAGUUAUCUUGAUCUUAGUGGUAACAAUUUCAUCAGCAUACCUGCAUCUCUUACUCGACUCUCAAAGCUUUAUGUUCUUGUCUUUUCAAAUUGCAACGUGUGCACUCUUGGUGAAGCAGAUAUUCAUAGUGAUCUUUCUGGUCUAUCCUCUUUGAGAUAUCUUUAUCUUAGUGGUAAGAAUUUGUUCAUUGUUCCAACAAAUUUCAUCACCAUUCCUUUGGCUCUUUCUCAACUUUCCAGGCUCAAAUUGCUUAAAUUGUCAGGUUGCAAGAUGCUUAAAUCGUUGCCUGAGCUAUCAUCAAGUAUAGCAGUUGUGAGUAUAGAUGGUUGUUCUUCACUUGAAGUAGUUGCAAGUCCAUCAAAAGUAUGCAAUUUAGUGGGUUGUGGUGACAUUAGUGCCAUUAACUGCUUCAAAUUGGCUGAGAAAAUCAAUGCAUUAACACUGCUGAAAGAACAUAUUAAGGUCGAUUAAUCUAUUUUUUCUCCCUUACAAAAUCUCAUACUUGAGAAUUUAUGGUUUUAUUUACCAAACGACUUGUGUUUUAUUUUGCAGGCACUUCCAAAAUCAAGAAAAUUUUUUGAUGAUGGCUUCUUUGAUAUUAUGAUGCCCGGAAGUGAAAUUCCAGAAUGGUUUAGCCAACAAAAAAGUGACUCUUCAAUUAAGAUACCACUUCGGAAAGAUAGUGAAUGGAUUGGAGUUGCUUGUUGCUGCAUUUUUGUCAGUAAUGAUGCUUCAGGGAAUAAGGCGUCUAUCGGCAUUGAUGGAUCUAUUUUUCGAGGUAGAAAUUGUCGACCAAUUGAUUGGAGAAACCAGUGGGUAGGUCGAUACUUUCACAAGCCCAUAAUGAAAGAUCACCUUUUUCUUCGUUAUUUUCCGCGUGAUGAAUUAUAUCCAAUUUCCUUGGAGGAUAAGUAUGGUGACUGUGAAACCAAUAAUUUAUGGACAACAGAUUGCUUAGAUCAAAUAGGCGAUGAGCUUAAGUUGUGUUUCAAUACCAAAUUUGGACCAAAUUACCGUUGUGUUAAGGUGAAGAAGUGUGGUGUUAGAAUAGUGUAUGAGAAAGAUUUGGAAGAAAUGAAAGAGUUGCAGUGCCAUACCACUCAAUCUUCUCCAAAUUUUGAACACAUCCACCAACACUCUGCUCACAACCAUGGAUCAAUAGGUAGCACUUCUCACAUGAAACGAAAACGUAAUAUCUAUGAGGAAACGGAGGAAGAAGAACCGCAACCAAAACGGAUGCAAAAUUUUUUCAAUUUUCUAAUGGGCCAAUCAAGAAAGAAGCAUUAACUGUGGUAAACUACUUAACCAACUUUGCUCAAUUAAUUUUCUUUUUUACACAUCUUGUAUUUCAUUUAAAUAGUUAUUCUAGAAUUGUUUUGCAUGAGAUUAGGGGUGAGUAUUCGAUCGAAUCGAAUCGAAUCGAAUCGAAAAUUUUUGAGUUAAUCGAGUUUUCGAAUCUCAUUUUAUCAUCCUAACUUUAUUUGAAGUUUUCUCGAAUCGAGUCGAGUGAGAUAGAAUUUGAAUCGAAUCGAAUAUAUUUGUUCGAGUUAAAUUUUAAAAAAUAAUUUUUGGUCCUUGUAACUAUUGUCACCUAUCGUAAUAAAAUUUGUCCACCUUAAUCAAAAUUUUUAUUAACUUUCAUAACCUCAUAAUUUAUUUAUUAAUUUUUUAUAUAUUGGUUAGCUUCUUUGCUUGCUUAGUUGUUUCAAUUAUCUUCAGAUUUUUGUCACUGUGUAUUUUGGAAUUAAAAAAUAUAUUAAAUGUAAAAAUAUGAUUUUUUAAUAAAAGUUAUUUUAAAAAUAAAAUGUGAAAUUGAUACCAAUAUAAAAUUUUAACACGAAUAUUUUAUGGCAUAAUUAAUAAUUCAAUUUUAAUAUAAAUAUUCAAUAUGACUAAACAAUUCAAUAAUAUAAAUAAUAUAAAAUAUGAUAUUUAAUUUAAUAAUAUAAAUAGUAGAUAUAAAUAAAAUUAUUACUAUUUAUGUUUAGUGAUUUUUUUUGGAUAAUUUUGAUUUUUUAUUUGAGAGUAAAGGGUGAGAAGUAAAAGUUUAGGGGGAAAAUAAAAAGUUUUGAGGAAUAAAAGUUUGAGCGAAUGUAAAUAGGAGGAGUAAAAUUUUGGAGGGAAAAUAUUAAAAAAAAUUUUGGAGGGGGGAGGGUUUGGGGUAGAUGGGAGGUGGGAUGGGAAGGAAAUAAAAGUUUUAGGGGAAAAGUGGGAGGGAGUAAAAAUUUUAGGAGAAAAUAAAAGGUUUUGAGGAUUUUUUGGAGUAAAAUUUUGAGAAAAAGUAAAUGGGAGAGUAAAAUUUUUGUUGGGAAAUGGAUUUUGGGUAGAUUGGAUGGUUGGGAGGGGAGAGGAGUAAAAGUUUUGGGGGGAAGUGGGAAGGAGUAAAAGUUUUGAGGGAAAAGUAAAAAGGUUUAGGAGUUUGGGGUAAAAAUGUAAAAUAUUAUAGUUUGAUAUUUGAAUUGUUCGAGUUAUUCGAAUUCGAAAACUCAACUUGAUUCGAAUUCGAAAUUCGAAAAAAAUUCGAGUUGAUUCGAAUAACUCGAUUCGUUUAACUCGAAAUUCGAAUUUUUUUCGAUUUUUUCGAGUCGAAUCGAGUUUUGCUCACCCCUACAUGAGAUAUGAUCCUUCCAGCCAAAACAUUUUAAAAAAUUUUAUUCUUAUUCAUAUUCAACAUGUACAUAUCUCAAAUGUUGAUAACAUCGUUUUUAUACCAUUUAAAAUUUUAGUCACUUAAUUCAUUCCUUUUUACAUAAUCUAAAUGUGUAUAUUUUGAUUGGUUUCACAUUUUUUUAUUAAAAAUUUAUUUCCACUAUAUUUAUAUAAAUUCACUUACAUCUAUAUUUUAUUUGUAGGUUGAAGAUGAAGCAAAUUAAAACAAAAUUGUGAGACAAAAAUGGAGACGAAGCAAGUAAUGAUAAAGUGAGAAUCCUUUAAUAAGGAUCGAUCAUAAUUUCAACUGAGUUAACAAUCAUUUUAUUUUUAUUGGAGACCAACUUAUGUGUUCAAUUUAAUCCGUCAAAACUGUUUUUAUAUAUUUAAAAGAUUAAAUAUAAAUCCUUAAAGGUACUUAAAUAGAUUCAAUCCCUUCUAAUAAAGUAUCAUUUAAAUUUCAUGACUUGAAGUACAAAUAAUAUUAUUCUAAUUCCUCAGUUUAAAAUUUUUUUAUAAAAUAUUUACCUUUAGACAUUUAUUUUUAAUAUUUAUUCAAAUAUGAAUAUAAAGUAUGCACUAAUAUUCAUUUAGAAAAUCUUUGUUCGUGAGACACUUAUUCAUAUUUUUUUCUUUUAAAAAUUCAAUACAUUCAUUUAUCUCUCCUCGCUGGACCUCCGGCUGGUUUCGCCAUUAUAAUCUGCAAACCUUGAAUCAACGGCAUUACUGAGCUUAGUGGAAGCAAAUGUUGGGAAAAUGGAAUACAGAUGCGAUCCUAAGCAACAAAUACAGCUUUGCAUGAGAACCUAAUCCCAUCACCAAACUAUUUUAAGUGCUUGGAACUUGAAAAUGAGAGCUCUUCCUUAUCCUGCUCUAUCUUCUGCGACUAAUGUAAAAGAGUUACAACAAUGCAUACACAAACAAAACGAAUAUGGCGGCCUUCAGCUUCAUCAAUACACGGAGGGCUAUACUUAAGAUGUUGCUCAUAGAAGCUGAUUAAGCUGAUUAACUGCAAUGGAAGAAAAAAAACACAAAAGAAGUGCAAGAAUUGUCAGCUCUUUGAGUCAAUUUAAUAAAGGAAAAGAUCAGGCAAGAAAAUGAUCCAUUACCAGCAGUGGAUUGUUAGCUUGAAGACACUGGUUGUCCACCAUAACCUCUUUUCCAUCUGACCUGUCAAAAUGUGACAAACAAAAUUUAUCAUCGACAACAUGAACUUCAAGAAAGUGCAGCGUAAGUUUGAGGACUCUCAGAGACUUCAACAACAGAAUCACAUCUAAUUAAUUGUGUUUGUUCUUCUCCACUUUUAUUAUUUUAUUGUUUAUAUGGACAAUCCUAACAUAUAUUAUGAGUGAAACUUAAAUUUCUCAUACGUUUAAUAUUUUUAAUAUUAAAAUAUAUAUCCUUCUUAAAAUACGUGAAUUUAGGUCAAAUUAAAUGAAAAGAGGAACUGAAUUUCUAAUUAGGUGUUAAUGGAAUCUUUGAUUUUAAUACAAGUGUUUUGUUAGUUCAUAUAUGGCUUAGUUAGUUUAUGGGUACGCAUGGAUUAAAUGAAAAAAAAUUAAAUUAAUUAAGUUGAUAAGUAUUAAUUUAUCAAUAAAAAUUAAUUUAAAAUUUUUAAUAAAUUAAAUUAAGUGAAAUAAAAUUUCGUAUCAAAUUUAUUUGAGUUAAUUUAGAAAUUUAAUCAAAUUAAGUUAAAACAUUUUUUAAUUUAUUAUUUAAAAUUUUAGAUAUCCAAACUAUAAAAAUCAAACUCUACUCAAAUCCGAAAAAGUCGGAAAACUUUAAUAAUUUCCAUAACUCAAACUAAUUUAGCCACCCAUUAAAACCACACCAUCGUACCAAAUCAUAAUAAAAAGAAUUUUUUAAAAAAUUACAAAACCAACCCUUAAAAUUUUAGAUGAUCAAAAGUCAAAACUUAUCUAAAAUGGGUCGUCAUCCCUAAACUCGAUGAUUUUAAUGGUCAACCAGGUAGGUACCAAAAUUGGUGCCUUUAUAAUGCUUUUUCUUCUUCUUUCUCUACAGGAGUUCUUUUUUUUUAUAUAUUUUUUUACACAUUAAAAAUUAAUUAUAUAUAUUGGCAUAUUGUAUAUGUAUGUCAUGUUUACAUUACUUACAUAUUAUAAUAUAUUUUAUAUAGCUUAUCAUAGUUAUUCAAUAUAUUCGUUUUAUUAUUUAUGUGUGAGGCUCGUGACUAUCCUUCUAAUAAUAUUUGAAUCCGCAUUCAUUCUUUAAAAAUAUAAUGUGACUUACUAUUACACUCAACAUUUAUAUUUAUCUUGAAUUUUACAUAAUUUCUCAUAUUCAUUUAAUGUGUAUAUUUACAUUUUUUUUUCGAAGUACUAUAAAUUUAAAUAAAAUUUGACAUGGUAAUGAUUCAUUUUACGUGAGAGUUUAACAUAUUUGUUAUUUGUCAUGUAUAUAUAAUCUUGAUGGCAGCAGAACUGUGUUUUAAUUAUUUUACAUUAUUUUAUUAUGUAGGUUUUAAAAUAUUAGGAUAAAUCUCAAAAUUAUAUAUUAACUUUGAUUCAAUAUGUAAUUUAAUAAAUGAGCUUUGGUUUAGUGUAAUUAUACACGUGGAGCUUUGAUUUUGAUUUAAAUGUAUACAUUUUGAUUUUGAUUUUCAUCAUCCAUGCUGCUCUAAAGAGGGGUGGGAUCGUCACUUUCAGGGAUGAUCCAAAGCUGGAGGCCGGCGAAGAGAUCGCUCCAGAACUCUUUAAAGCAAUUCAGCAAUCAUGGUGCUCGGUAAUCGUUUUUUCACAAACUAAUGCCUUUCAAGUUGGUGCUUGGAGGAGCUCGCUGAGAUUGUUAAACAACAUAACAACGACGGCCAUAAAGUGUUUCCAAUUUUUUACGAUGUUGAUCCAUCUGAUUUAAGAAAACAAAAAGGGAAAGUGGAAGAAGCCUUUGCCAGACAUGAAGAGAGAUACAAAGAAGAAAGUGAGAAGAUCCAAAGGUGGCGAAAUGCUUUAAUUCAAGUGGCUGCAGGCAAGGGAUGGNNNNNNNNNNNNNNNNNNNNNNNNNNNNNNNNNNNNNNNNNNNNNNNNNNNNNNNNNNNNNNNNNNNNNNNNNNNNNNNNNNNNNNNNNNNNNNNNNNNNNNNNNNNNNNNNNNNNNNNNNNNNNNNNNNNNNNNNNNNNNNNNNNNNNNNNNNNNNNNNNNNNNNNNNNNNNNNNNNNNNNNNNNNNNNNNNNNNNNNNNNNNNNNNNNNNNNNNNNNNNNNNNNCAUUGAAAAAGAAAGUGCAUUCGAAACAUAUCACCCAAAACAUUAAAAUUUCUUUUUUUUAGGCAUGAAUCUGAAUUUAUUGGAGACAUUGUUAAGAAGAUAUCAGCAAAACUAUGUCAGGCAUAUCCAGCUACUCAUGGCGACUUGGUUGGUAUUAGUGAAAGCUUGGAGGAUUUGUAUUUGAAAAUAAACAUUGGGGAAGAUGAUGUCCGCUUUAUAGGAAUUUGCAGAAUGGGUGGCAUCGGUAAAACGACACUCGCAAGAGUUGCUUACAAUCAAAUGUCACCUCAUUUUGAAGGUAAAAGCUUUAUUGCUGAUAUUCGAGAAGUUUCAGACAAAUGCGGACUAGUUUCUUUACAGAAACAACUUCUUUCACAGAUCUUUCAUGGUGAAUGCUUCAACUUUUUCGAUGUUCAUGAAGGAAGUGACAUAAUUAGCCAUAGGUUGUCUCACAAAAAGGUUCUUGUUGUUCUUGAUAAUGUUGAUAACAUACAACACUUAAAAUGCUUGGUUGGAAGGCACGAUUGGUUCGGAUUAGGAAGUAGAAUCGUUGUAACAACAAGAGAAGAACAUUUGCUUCGAUAUUGGCCAGUUGAUGAUAUGUAUGAGCCCACAACAUUAAAUCCCAAAGAUGCGCUUCAACUUUUCAGUCUAAAAGCUUUUCAUAGUGAUACAGUGCAGAAAGAUGAUUUCAUUGAGCUUUCUAAACAUGUUGUAAAUUAUGCUGGUGGACUCCCCUUAGCUCUUGAAGUUUUGGGUUCCUUUUUGUGCGGUAGAGAUGCGACUCAAUGGAGAAGUGCGAUUGAAAGACUUAAAAGAGAUUCUAAUAAAGAAAUUCUCGAUAAACUUCGAAUCAGUUUUGACGGACUGGAAGAAAGGGAGAAAAAUAUAUUUUUAGAUAUAGCAUGCUUCUUCAAUGGGGAGGAGAAAGAUUUUGUGAUCAAAGUAUUAGAUGGUUGUGAGUUUUUUCGUGAUAUCGGAAUUGAUGUUCUCGUUAAAAAAUCUCUCUUAAAAGUCGAUGAACACAACAAAUAUUUGAAGAUGCAUGACUUGUUGCAAGAAAUGGGAAGAACAAUUGUUAAAGAAAAAUGUGUUGAUGAACCUGGAAAACGUUGCAGAUUGUGGGAGGAAAGGGACGUCCAUCAUGUCCUAACAAAAAACAUUGUAAGUCAUUCAACAAAAGUUACAUACUAUUUCCUUUUUAUCCUACAUUAUUUACCAUUUAUUUUAUUUUCUUAUUGUCUGUUCUUGAUUUUUUUAGGCUACAAAAAUGAUUGAAGACAUAAUCAUCGAUAAUAAAAGGUGAGAAGACACACAUAAACUUAUAUCCAUGUGUACCGUAAAUAAUUAUUGUUUUUAAAUAUGAUAAAAAAACUAUAGCAAAACUUUUGACAUUCAAUAUUUCAAUGUUUAAUUAUGAAAUUUAUCUAGCAACAUAUUUACUUUUUCAAAAGAAUCAAAAGAGAAAUGUAUGUAUUUUUUUGUGAAAAUUAAUGGUAUAUAUUUAAUGUACUAAAAGAGUAUAUCAUCGAAUUAGAUUGUAACAUGUCAUCAAAAUUUUUUUAAUGAAAAUGGUUUCAUUUUUAAUUAUGUGUCAUUGUUUGGUUCAUUAACUUGUAAAUUAUGCAUUGUUUGCGGACCAAAUAUAAAUCAACAUAGUAAUUCAAUUUUUUAUGAUUAGGUAAUUUAACAUCAGAUGUGAUUGUUAGAUAUAAGUAUCUCUUUAAUAUGAGUAUAUUCAAAAAAAAUUUAAAAAUUAUUUUUUUCACGUAUUUGAAAGGUUCUUAAAGGAUCAUAUCUUAAUACUCAUAUACAAAUGUGCAUUAGAUAUAAGUAUUGGAUACGAGUAUUUAAAAAACAAUAUUGAUGCAACAUUUCUUUUUAGAUAUUGAAUGUUUUUCUAUAUUUUGAAGCUCAUUUUUGUUUUGCUCAUGGAUAUUAGGGAAUCGAACAAGAUGCUUAAUUUGAGUGUGGAUACCUUCUUGAAGAUGAAAAAACUGAGAUUGCUCAAAGUGCUUUGCUUUUCAAAUUGUGAUGAUUUCGAAUAUCUUUCUAAUGAACUACGACUUUUAGAUUGGAUAGGAUACCCUUUAAGAUACUUGCCUUCAAGCUUUCAACCGGACAACCUUGUCGCACUUCUUUUACCAUAUAAUCACAUUCAACAACUAUGGAAGGGAAAUAGAGUAAGAAUUAACUCAUCUUAUCCUUGUGUUUUAGCUCUUUUUAAUAUAAAUUAUUAAAAUUAAGGUAAAAAAAAUGAGCAUUAUUAUGUUUUCUCAGUUGUUUCUAAUUUAUUAUGGUCUUCAACAGCCCUUGUUUAACUUGAAAAUAAUGAACCUCAGAGGGUCUCAAAACCUGAUCAAGACACCAGACUUCACAACAGCAUCAAAUCUUGAAGUUUUGAUUUUGGAAGGUUGUAUCAAAUUAGUGGAUGUUCAUCCAUCAAUCGGGGUGCUUAAGAGCCUUAAACUUUUGAAUUUAAGAGAUUGCAAAAGUCUUAGGACUCUUCCAACCAAAAUUGGAAUGGAAUCUCUUGAAACAUUAAUUCUUUCGGGUUGCUCAAGUCUUGUAAGGUUUCCGGAGAUUGAUGGGAAAAUGGAACGUCUAAAAACUCUAGAUCUUUCCGGUUGUUAUAGGGUGGAAAAUUUAUCGGAGAAUUUGCAGCAAGCAAAGUUUUUGGAAGAGCUCGACUUGAGUGAAACAGCCAUAACAGAACCACCAUCCUUCAUUUUUCAAUUUAAAAAUCUUAAAGUUCUGUCUUUCAGUGGGCGCAGGGGACCAUCAUAUAAGAUACUACCAUGUUUGCCUUCUCUGUUCAAGGUAAUCCAAGGAAGAAGGACGAAUCCCAUGGCUCGGAUGUUGCCUUUGUUGUCAGGUUUGAGUUCUUUAAGAGAGCUAAAACUAAGGGACUGCAAUCUUUGUGAAGGAGAUCUUCCACGUGAUAUUUCUGGUCUAUCCUCUUUGUGGUGUCUUGAUCUUAGUGGUAACAAUUUCAUCAGCAUACCUGCAUCUCUUACUCGACUCUCGAAGCUUACACAUCUUAUAUUGUCAAAUUGCAACAUGUGCACUGUUGGUGAAGCAGAUAGUCAUAGUGAUAUUUCUUGUUUAUCCUCUUUGAAAAGUCUUACUCUUAGUGGUAACAAUUUCAUCACCAUUCCUUUGGCUCUUACUCAACAUUCCGGGCUGCAAUAGCUUGUAUUGUCAGACUGCAAGAUGCUUAAAUUGUUGCCUGCGCUAUCAACAAAUAAACGAGUGCGGAUAGAUGGUUGUUCUUCAGUAGAAGUAGUUGCAAGUCCAUCAAAAGUAUGCAAUUUAGUGGGUUGUGACAUUACUGCCAUUAACUGCUUCAAAUUGGCUGAGAAAAUCAAUGCAUUAACACUGCUGAAAGAACAUAUUAAGGUCUAUUAAUCUAUUUUUCUCCGUUACAAAAUCUCAUACUUGAGAAUUUAUGGUUUUAGUUACCAGACGACUUGUGUUUUGUUUUGCAGGCUGUUCGAUAUCCAAGAGAUUGUUUUGAUGGUGGCAUCGUUGAUAUUAUGUUGCCCGGAAGUGAAAUUCCAGAAUGGUUUAGCCAACAAAAAAGUGACUCUUCAAUUAAGAUACCCCUACCUAUCAACCUUUGGAAAGAUAGUCAAUGGAUUGGAGUUGCUUGUUGCUGCAUUUUUGUCAAUAAUGAUGCUUCAAGGAAAGAGUUUAUUAGCUGUGAUGGAUCUAUUUUUCGAGGUAGAAAUUGUCGAUCUAUUUGUAAGAGAAACAAGUGGGUAGGUCAACGCUUGGACAAGCCCAUAAUGAAAGAUCACCUUUUUUUUCGUUAUUUUCCGCGUGAUCAAUCAUAUCCAUUUUCCUUGGAGGAUAAAUAUGGUGACUGUGAAACCAAUAAUUUAUGGACAACAGAUUGCUUAGAUCAACUAUGCGAUGAGCUUGAGUUGUCUUUCAAUGACAAAUUUGUACCAAAUUGUGUUAAGGUGAAAAAGUGUGGUCUAAGAAUAGUGCAUGAGAAAGAUUUGGAAGAGAUAAAAGAGUUGCAGUGCCAUACCACUCAAUCUUCUCCAAAUUUUGAACACAUCCACCAACACUCUGCUCACAACCGUGGAUCAGUAGGUAGCACUUCUCACAUGAAACGAAAACGUAAUAUCUAUGAGGAAAUGGAGGAAGAAGAGCCGCAAUCAAAACGGAUGCAAAAUUUUUUCAAUUUUGUAAUGGGCCAAUCAAGAAAGAAGCAUUAACUGUGGUAAACUACUUAACCAACUUUGUCCCAUUAAUUUUUUUUUGCGUAUGUGAUAUUUCCUUCAUACUCAUAUUCAACAUGUACAUAUCUCAAAUGUUUUAUACCAUUUAAAAUUUAACCAAGGAGGACUUCUUAUUCUUUCAGUUAAAUUCUGAUUACUUCAGUGAUAUUCUAGCCAUUUUAGCCCUUCUCUGUGUCUAUUUAAAGGAGUCAUUGUAUCCCUGUUUUGAUACGCAAAUCAGUAAUAGCUCUUCUUUAAGGGUAGCAAGAUGUAGUUAUAUAUGGGGUUUUGGUGAGAGUUUGAGAGGAUUUUAUGAAAUCCCUUUUGUGAGAGCUUUGGGUAUUAACUUUGUAAUCGGGGUUUGGAUUUUAGUGUUCUCAUUGUACUCUUGUUUUGUUUACUCCAUUAAUGUUAAGCCGAAGCCUCUUUUGUCCGUAGUUUUUAUUCUCUUUGGAAGAGUUUUUUAAUGUAAAAUAAUUGUGUUUAUUCUUCUCCACUUUUAUUAUUUCAUUAUUUAUACCGACAAUCCCAAAUAUAUAUUAUGAGUGAGACUUAAAUUUCAUCAAACGUUUAAUAAUUUUAAUAUUAAAAUAUAUAUCCUUUUUAAAAUAAGUGAAUUUAGGUCAAAUUAAAUGAAAAGAGGAACUGAAUUUCUAAUUAGGUGUUAAUGGAAUCUUUUAUUUUAAUUCAAGUGUUUUGUUAGUUCAUAUAUGGCUUACUUAGUUUAUGGGUAUGCAUGGAUUAAAUGAAAAAAAAUAAAUUAAUUAAGUUGAUAAGUAUUAAUUUAUGAAUAAAAAUUAAUUUAAAAUUUUUAAAAAUUAAAUUAAGUGAAAUAAAAUUUCGUAUCUAAUUUAUUAGAGUUAAUUUAGAAAUUUAAUCAAAUUAGGUUAAAAUAUUUUUUAAUUUAUUAUUUAAAAUUUUGUAUAUCCAAAUUAUAAAAAUCAAACUCGAUUCAAAUCCGAAAAAGUCGGAAAACUUUAAUAAUUUCCCUAACUCAAACUAAUUUAGCCACCUAUUAAAACCACUUUAUCAAAGCCACACCGUCGUACCAAAUCAUAAUAAAAAGAAAUUUUUAAAAAAUUACAAAACUAAUCCUUAAAAUUUUAGAUUACCAAAGUCAAAACUUAUCUAAAAUGGGGCAGGUACCAAAGUUGGUGCCUUUAUCAUGCUUUUUCUUCUUCUUCCUCCACAGGAGUUUUUUUAUUAUUUAUUUAUAUAUUUUUUUACACAUUAAAAAUUAAUUAUAUAUAUUGGCAUAUUGUAUAUGUAUGUCAUGUUUACAUUACUUACAUAUUAUAAUAUAUUUUAUAUAGCUUGUCAUAGUUAUUUAAUAUAUUCGUUUUAUUGUUUAUGUUUGAGGCUCGUGAUUAUCCUCCUAAUAAUAUUUGAAUUUGCGUUCAUUCUUUAAAAGUAUAAUGUGACUUACUACUACCCUCAACAUUUAUAUUCAUCUUGAAUUUUACAUAAUUUCUCAUAUUCAUUUAAUAUGUAUAUUUACAUUAUUUUUUUCUUCGGAGUACCAUAAAUUUAAAUAAAAAUUGACAUGGUAAUGAUUCAUUUUAAGUGAGAGUUUAACAUAUUUGUUAUUUGUGUCAUGUAUAUAUAAUCUUGAUGGCAGCAGAACUAUGUGUUUUAAUUAUUUUACAUUAUUUUAUUAUGUAGGUUUUAAAAUAUUGGGAUAAAUCUCAAAAUUAUAUAUUAACUUUGAUUCAAUGUGCAAUUUGAUAAAUGAGCUUUGAUUUGGUGCAAUUAUACACGUGGAACUUUGAUUUUGAUUCAAAUGUAUAUAUGAAACUUUGAUUGUGGUAUAUUAACAUAAAAUGAUACUAUAUUAAUAAUUUGUGAGAAUUGGAUACAAUGAUACAUCAAUUUAUAUUUAUAUUGGAUAAAUAUAAUUGUAUGUGUAUGUAAUAUAUUAACAUAAAAUGAUACCAUAUCAAUAAUUUGUGAGAAUUGGAUACAAAUCAAAAUUUCAUAUAUAAAAUUGCACAUUAGACCAAAGUUCAUGUAUAGUUUUGAGAUUUAUCCCCAAAUUAUUUCAUAUAUUUAUAUUAAAAAAUUCCAUUUAUCCUCUUUCAUAAUAAUUUAAUUUUAAAUCUAAAUUUAUUUACUUAAAAUUAUAUUAUUACGCUAACAUAUAUUACUAUAAUGGAUUACGUGAUGUGACAGGUUGUUACAAAGGAGGUUGCCAUCGUGGAGCACUAGAAGAUCGUGUGUUGUGGGGUCCAUUAUGGUAUUCAUUUAGGCGGUACGGAGUUGUUAUGCACAAAUGAGUCCUAUUGAUUGCUCAAGAGAAUGUUCACACUGAAAAGCGAGUUGCUAGACCAUGGUGAGCAAGUAGCUAAGUAAAAGGGGAAGUGUUUCCCAUAUAAGCAACUGGUCUAUAGUAGGCUAGGAGGUAGAUUGAUUGAGGGCAAUCUAGAUGAGUGGGUAGAUGUAGGACAUUCUCUAUUGUCUAGAUGGAGUCUCCUAGAUGUGUCAUGUGUUAGGCCCGGGUGAUAGGUAUAACAAAAGUUCAUGUACAAGUAUUAGUCUUGCUUUUGCCAAUAGUCUUGUUUUAAUUUGCAAGUAUUUUUAGGGAUAGAUUUAUAGUCUUCCCUUUCAGUUUAGUAAAUACUUAGUUUUCUUGCUGAUUUUGCCCUUACUUUGGACUCUCAGGAUUGGUUUUCUUAUCAUGUUAUUUGCUUAUAGUCACUUUAGAUAUAUCGUGUUUGAGUCGUGACAAAAUCAGUUGUCAACAUACUAUAAUGUUCUAUUCUUAGUAUGUUGAAGUCUUUGUUUGUGUUGAUGGAACUUGUCCAUUAUCAGUGACAAUGAGUGUUUGUUGUAUCUUUAUUUUCUCCGAAUUGUGUGGUCCCAUUCAUGAAAUAAAUGAAUUAAUUUUUCUUUCACUUUUCUUCAUAUGAUAUAAAUUGUAUAAUAUAUAAAAUAAAUGAAAAACAAUAUAUGAUAAACUUAAAAAUUGGUCGAGUUGAGUUGAGCUUGAGCUUUGAAUAUUAAAGCCUAAAUCCAACUCAUAUUUUAAACGAGUCUAAUUUACCCAAACCCAAUUUAAGCAUAAUAUUUUUGUCCAAAUCCUCUUAAAUUUUGAAUGAGCUUUUGGACUUGAACGAUUUACUCUUGAACAAAUCUGAUAUUUUUUAAAUAUUUUAUACAACAUUAUUCGAGUCAUAUUUUGAAUAAAAUCUUUUGUAAUAGAAUGGCUUGCUACUAUGGAUGGUGGAACCAGGGUUUGCUGAAUUUACUACCUCCACACCAUAUCCAUAGAAACUAAUAGCAUUCCAUUAUCCACUGCUUAUAAAGUAAUACCAAUAUAAUAAAAUUUAUGCUAAAAUCAAUUUAAUGUUUUUUUAAAUAGGAUUUGUAGUCGAAUUGGAUAGGUUAUUAGUUUGUUGGUCCAAUGAUUAAAAAUUAUUAAAAUUUAAAAAAGUUAAAAUAGAGUUUCGAUUCAUUUAAUUUUUCAUAGGUUGAAUCGGUUCAUAUCAAUUUUCAAUCUAAUCAAUUCAAAAUCACUCUUCGAACCAAUACUCUGUUGGCUUUUGAUCUAAUCGAUCGAUCAAUCCGAUUCAAACAAGACUGAAUCAAUAGAUAAAAGAUGAGAAUAAUUCUUAACAACAACCUGCAAAUUAUGUGAUUAAUUAUAUCUCAAAUUGAUCCAACAUAAAACAGAUAAAAAGAAAAGGUUUCAACAACUCUUCCAAAACAUAUUAUGUUUUAAUGAUCCCACACCAUGUUAAUGAGUUGUGUACUGCACCUUCCUCGAUGGGCAAGCAUAUUUCCCACAUGGGAUUCCCACAAGGAAUCACAGCUUCUUUACUGCAACAACAUGGAAAAAAAAAACUUGAUGGAAAUAAUUUAAGAUCAAAAUUAAACACCAAUAUAUACACACAUAGAAAAUAAAGAGAAACUUAGAGCUAACAUAUAUAUACACACAGACAUACACAUACAUACAUUCGGUAUUUCCAGCGUUUUGUCCAGUUCUUCUUCUCUUCUACUUCUUGCAUGUAAAAGUAAAAUUCCCAUGCCGAUCACCGGUCCCUGUACAACAAAACUUUAAAAGCAAUGAACUAUAUACAUAUACGUUAGUUUUUUGAUUGGAAAUGAGACCCUUUCAUUUCUCUUUUCACACACUCGCAUUGAACAACAAUGGAGGGGAAAUAGAGUAAGAAUUAGCUCAUUGAUCCUUGUUUUAGCUUAUUUUAAGAUGGAUGAUUGAAAUUUGAUUAUGAUAAGAAUAUAAAAACAAAUUUGAGGUUUUCUUUUAUGUUUUUUUUUAUUGCUUUUUAAGUAUUGUUUUCAACAGCCCAUAUAUAAGUUGAAAGUGAUCAACUUUAAAGGGUCCCAAAACCUGAUCAAUACCCCAGACUUUAUAAUUGUAGAUGUCCAUCCAUCAUUCGGAGUGCUUAAGAGGCUUAAACUUUUGAAUUUCAAAGACUGCAGAAGUCUUAGGAGUCUUCCAACCAGAAUUGAAGUGAAAUCCCUUGAAACAUUGAUUCUUUGGUGUUGCUCAAAACUUCAAAGGCUUCCAGAUAUCGAUGGGAAAAUGAAAUGUUUAAAAACUCUUAAUCUUUCUGGUUAUUAUAGAGUUGAAAAUUUACCAGAGAAUUUGCAGCAAGCGAAGUUUUUAGAAGAGCUCGAUUUAAGUGAAACAGCCAUAACAGAGCCACCAUACUUCACUUUUCAAUCUAAAAAUCUUAAAUUUAGUGGGUUUGGCCUGCCCUACAGGCAUUGACUGCCUUAGAGCCACUGACUGCUACAGAUUGGCUGAGAACAUCAAUCCAUUAACAUUGCUAAUUAUUAAAUACGUAAAAUACAAACCGUCCAACAUUUUUAAUUAUUACUUAUAAUUAAAGUAGACUCCACUUUGCCAACUCUCACCUUCUUGGAAACAACAUCCAUCGCUCAUCUUUGACCCCUAUGCUCAUAUACUUACUUUUUCUAGUUUCUUUGUGGAUAUUGGGCGAUCUAUUAUCUGAUUUUGAACACCAGAUUGAGAUAUUCUUCUCCUUUCAUACAUCCUCAUGUUGUCCUUACCAUCAACUUCUUCCUCCAUUUCUAAAAAGAAAUAUGAUGUUUUCUUGAGUUUUAGAGGUGAAGUUACUCGCAAAAACUUCACCGAUCAUCUCUAUGCUGCUCUAAAGAGGAGUGGGAUCGUCACUUUCAGGGAUGAUCCAAAGCUGGAGGCCGGCGAAGAGAUCGCGCCAGAACUCUUUAAAGCAAUUCAGCAAUCAAGGUGCUCGGUAAUCGUUUUUUCACAAACUUAUGCCUUUUCAAGUUGGUGCUUGGAGGAGCUUGCUGAGAUUGUUAAACAACAUAACAACGACGGCCAUAAAGUGUUUCCAAUUUUUUACGAUGUUGAUCCAUCUGAUUUAAGAAAACAAAAAGGGAAAGUGGAAGAAGCCUUUGCCAGACAUGAAGAGAGAUACAAAGAAGAAAGUGAGAAGAUCCAAAGGUGGCAAAAUGCUUUAAUUCAAGUGGCUGCAAUCGAGGGAUGGCAUUUAAAUAACAGGUAAUUCUUUCUUUUCUUCUCUAUUUUCUAGUUUUUUGGAUAUAUAUAUGUAUGUAUGUAUAACUUUUUUUUUUUCUAAUCCUAUGUGUUUAAUUGAAAAGUGUCAUAUUUCAAUAAAAGAGCAAAUUUUGUCUUCUGGCUCCGCAACAGAUCUUGCUUUCUUAUUCUUGGUUCUUGUUUGCUUCCAAACUAUAUUAUGUUUCAUGAUUCAUUGAAAAAGAAAGUGCAUUCGAAACAUAUCAACAAAAUUUUACUCAAAACAUUAAAAUUUCAUUUUUUUUAGGCAUGAAUCAGAAUUUAUUAGAGACAUUGUUAUGAAGAUAUCAGCAAAACUAUGUCAGACAUAUCCAGUUACUCAUAGCGACUUGGUUGGUAUUAUUGAACGCUUGGAGGAUUUGUAUUUAAAAAUAAACAUUGGGGAAGAUGAUGUCCGCGUUAUAGGAAUUAGCGGAAUGGGUGGCAUCGGUAAAACGACACUCGCAAGAGUUGCUUACACUCAAAUGUCACCUCAUUUUGAAGGUAAAAGCUUUAUUGCUGAUAUUCGAGAAGUUUCAGACAAAUGCGGACUAGUUUCUUUACAGAAACAACUUCUUUCACAGAUCUUUCAUGGUGAAUGCUUCAACUUCUUUGAUGUUCAUGAAGGGAGUGACAUAAUUAGCCAUGGGUUGUCUCACAAAAAGGUUCUUGUUGUUCUUGAUAAUGUUGAUAACAUACAACACUUAAAAUGCUUGGCUGGAAGGCACGAUUGGUUCGGAUUAGGAAGUAGAAUCGUUGUAACAACAAGAGAAGAACAUCUGCUUCGAUCUUGGCCAGUUGAUGAUAUGUAUGAGCCCACAACAUUGAAUCCCAAAGAUGCGCUUCAACUUUUCAGUCUGAAAGCUUUUCAUAGUGAUACACUGCAGAAAGAUGAUUUCAUUGAGCUUUCUAAACAUGUUGUAAAUUAUGCUGGUGGACUCCCUUUAGCUCUUGAAGUUUUGGGUUCCUUUUUGUGCGGUAGAGAUGCGACUUAAUGGAGAAGUGCGAUUGAAAGACUUAAAAGAGAUUCUAAUAAAGAAAUUCUCGAUAAACUUCGAAUCAGUUUUGAUGGACUGGAAGAAAGGGAGAAGAAUAUAUUUUUAGAUAUAGCAUGCUUCUUCUAUGGGGAGAGGAAAGAUUUUGUAAUCAAAGUAUUAGAUGGUUGUGAGUUUAUUCUUGAUAUCGAAAUUGAUGUUCUCAUUAAAAAUCUCUUGUAAAAGUCGAAAAAUACAACAGAUAUUUGAACAUGCAUGAAUUGUUGCAAGAAAUAGGAAGAAUAAUUGUUAAAGAAAAAUGUGUUGAUGAACUUGAAAAAUGUAGCAGAUUGUGGGAGGAAAGGGACGUCCAUCAUGUCCUAACAAAAAACACAGUAAGUCAUUCAACAAAAGUUACAUACUAUUUCUUUUCAAUCCUACAUUAUUCACCAUUUAUUUUAUUUUCUUAUUGUCUGUUCUAGAUUUUUUUUAGGCUACAAAAAUAAUUGAAAGCAUAAUCAUCGAUAAUAAAAGGUAAGAAGACACACAUAAACUUAUAUAGUACUAUAAAUAAUUAUUAUUUUUAAAUAUGAUAAAAAAAAACUAUACCAAAAAUUUUGACAUUCAAUAUUUCAAUGUUUAAUUAUGAAAUUUAUCUAGCAACAUAUUUACUUUUUAAAAGAGAAAUGUAUGUAUUUUUGAAAUAUUAAUGGUAUAUUUUUUUUGAGAAAAUUAAUGGUAUAUAUUUAAUGUACUAAAAGUGUAUAUCAACAAAUUAGGUUAUAACAUGUCAUCAAUUUUUUUUAAUGAAAAUGGUUUCAUUUUUAAUUAUGUGUCAUUGUUUGGUUCAUUAACUUGUAAAUUAUGCAUUGUUUGCUAACCAAAUAUAAAUGAACAUAUUAAUUCAAUUUUUUAGGAUUAGGUAAUUUAACAUCGGAUGUGAUUGCUAGACAUAAGUAUCUCUUUAAUAUGGGCAUAUUCAAAAAAAAUUUAAAAAUUAUUUUUUUUACGUAUUUAAAAGGUUCUUAAAGGAUCAUAUCUUAGUACCCAUAUACGAAUGUGCAUUAAAUAUAAGUAUUGGAUACGAGUACUUAAAAAACAAUAUCGAUGCAACAUUUCUUUUAGAUAUUGAAUGCUUUUGUAUAUUUUGAAGCUCAUUUUUGUUUUGCUCAUGGAUAUUAGGGAAUCGAAUAAGAUGCUUAAUUUGAGUGUGGAUACCUUCUUGAAGAUGAAAAAACUGAGAUUGCUCAAAGUGCUUUGCCUUUCAAAUUGUGAUGAUCUCAAAUAUCUUUCUAAUGAACUACAACUUUUAGAUUGGACAGGAUACCCUUUAAGAUACUUACCUUCAAGCUUUCAACCGGACAACCUUGUCGCAUUUCUUUUACCAUGUAGUCACAUUCAAAAACUAUGGAAGGGAAAUAGAGUAAGAAUUAACUCAUCUUAUACUUGUGUUUUAGCUUAUUUAAUUAUAAAUUAUUAAACUUUGAUUAAGGUAAAACAAAAAAACAAAAAUGAGCAUUGUUAUGUUUUCUCAUUUGUUUCUAAUUUAUUAUAGUCUUCAACAUCCCGUGUUUAACUUGAAAAUAAUGAACCUCAGAGGGUCUCAAAACCUGAUCAAGACACCAGACUUCACAACAGCAGCAAAUCUUGAAGUUUUGAUUUUGGAAGAUUGUACCAAAUUAGUGGAUGUUCAUCCAUCAAUCGGGGUGCUUAAGAGCCUUAAACUAUUGAAUUUAAGAGAUUGCAAAAGUCUUAGGACUCUUCCAACCAAAAUUGGAAUGGAAUCUCUUGAAACAUUAAUUCUUUCGGGUUGCUCAUGUCUUGUAAGAUUUCCGGAUAUUAUUGAUGGGAAAAUGGAAUGUCUAAAAACUCUAGAUCUUUCCGGUUGUUAUAGAGUGGAAAAUUUAUCGGAGAAUUUGAAACAAUCGAAGUUUUUGGAAGAGCUCGACUUGAGUGAAACAGCCAUAACAGAACCACCAUCCUUCAUUUUUCAAUUUAAAAAUCUUAAAGUUCUGUCUUUCAAUGGGUGCAAGGGUCCAUCAUAUAAGUUAAUACCAAAUUUGCCUUCUCUUUUCAAGGUAAUCCAAGGAAGAAGGACGAAUCCCAUGGCUUGGAUGUUGCCUUUGUUAUCAGGUUUGAGUUCUUUAAGAGAGCUAAAACUAAGGGACUGCAAUCUUUGUGAAGGAGAUAUUCCAUCAUCAGCAUACCUGCAUCUCUUACUCGACUCUCGAAGAUUGCAAAUCUUAUAUUGUCAAAUUGCAACAUGUGCACUUUUGGUGAAGCAGAUACUCAUAGUGAUAUUUCUGGUCUAUCCUCUUUGAGUUAUCUUAAUGUUAGUGGUAACAAUUUCAUCAGCAUACCUGCAUCUCUUACUCGACUCUCAAUGCUUCAUGAACUUGACUUGUCAAAUUGCAACGUGUGCACUCUUGGUGUAGCAGAUAUUCAUAGUGAUCUUUCUGGUCUAUCCUCCUUGAUACAUCUUGAUCUUAGUGGUAACAAGUUCAUCAGCAUUCCUUUGGCUCUUACUCAACUUUCCAGGCUCAGAUUGCUUAAAUUGUCAGGUUGUAUUAGGAGAUAAAGAGGUGUUGGUUAGCUGUUAUGCAUGCUGUUAACAGUUAGUUAGGUAAGGGCAGUUGUAACUGCUGUUGACUCACUGUAUAUAUACACACGUACUUUGCAUGAGAAAAUAAUAAGAAGAAAUGAUAGACGAAGUUUUAUCUAGUAUUCUUGGAUGAUUAGCAUGGUAUCAAGAGCCAGUUGAAUCUUACUGAUUUUCUGGAAAAAAAAGGGGUGCCUCAUGGCCACUGAUGCAGUAGGUGAAACUCCCCGUCACUCGUCCAACACCAGAGAAGCUGAACACUCACAAGGUAAUGGUGCUCAAGGCCCGACUGAAGUGCACUAUUUCUCCAAGCAUGAUACAAUAAAGCUUGCGUCGCACAACUACCUUUUGUGGAAACAUCAGCUCUUGCUGAUUCUUGAAGGGUAUGGACUUGAAGGAUAUGUACUAGGUACCACUUCCUCCCCUCCUCAGUUUAUUGAUGGUCCUGAUGGUCAGCAAAUUGCGAAUCAAGAUUUCAUCGUUCAUCGAAAGCAAGAUAAGUUUCUUGCCUCUUGGCUUUUAUCUACUAUUACGGAUGAUAUUUUGGCUCAUCUUACAACCGCCAAAACUAGUUGUGAUCUGUGGAAUGCGAUUGAAAGGAAAUUUAGUGCUAAAUCAAACAUAAAAAUCUUGAGCAUGCGGCAUGCUUUAUACUCUCUCAAGAAGUCCAAUCUUUCUGUUAAAGAGUAUAUGUCGAAAGUUAAGCAGCUCAGUGAUGAUUUGACUGCGGUUGGGAGCUUUAUAUCUGAACAGGAACAAGUGAGCGUUAUAUUGGCUGGACUUUCUGUUGAAUUUGAUUCCAUUAGAGUUCUAGCUACUGCAACUCCAUUAUCUCUUGAUUUGUUGAGUGAAUUGUUACUUGACUGUGAAGUACGUCAAUUAGAGCUGUUAAAAGACACCUCCUGUCAAGCAAAUUUGGCAACUCAUCAGCAAAAUAGCAAUGAUACGGGUAAACAAUCAGCAGACUCUGCUGGGUAUUCUCAAGACUCCAAGCAGAAUGAUAGAGGACAGGGCCUUGGGUGGUCUCGUGGUCAUUUUCGGGGAAAUGGACGAGGAUGGUCACGUUCGAGGCCGCAAUGCCAGUUGUGUGGAAAGAUAGGCCACAUGGUUCAAACAUGUUACCAUAGAUUUGAUGAGUCGUUCUCUGGGAAUGCAGGAGCUGGUACGGUUCAAGUUAAUUGUCAUCAGUUGCACGCUUCCAGUUGUGUGCCAGCUGCUCCAACAUGUCAAGCGAUGUCUCACUGCUAUCACACAAAUCCUCAGUCUUCCUCUGGUUCUUUUCCACCUCAUCCAUCUUCACAAAAUAGUUCUAUCUGGUACCCCGAUUCUGGAGCGACGAACCAUAUAACACCAGAGGUGUCUAAUCUUGCGGCUCCCUCUUCAUAUACAAGUAAGAGUUGUGUCACCAUGGGUAAUGGUGAUUCGGUGCCUAUUGCUCAUGUUGGUUCAACCGUUCUUUCGACUGGAACCCGACUCCUAAAGCUUCAGAACGUACUGCAUGUUCCUGCAGUGUGCAAAAAUCUAAUGUCUGUGGGUCAGUUUGCUAGAGAUAACAAUGUUUAUUUUGAAUUUCACCCUGUUCUAUGUUUUGUGAAGGAUGUUCAGACAGGGAAGACACUUCUCGAGGGCCGCAUGCAUGAUGGCCUUUACAAAUUUCGGUUCGCAAAGCCUGUGUCAGCUUCAGGUGCUAAAUCUCCAGAGUCAAAUUCAACAGUAUUGAAUACUGCCAACUCUAUUCAGUGUGCACCUUCCUCUUUGUGGCAUGACAGACUAGGUCACCCAUGUACUGAGGUUCUUAAACGAGUUUUAAAAACUUGUAAUAUUCCAGUUAAACAGAAUUGUGUGCAACAUAUGUGUACAGCUUGCCAACUAGGUAAAGCUCACAAACUUCCGUUUACAGCAUCUAAAACAAUGUAUUCCUCUCCUUUUGAACUCAUUGUAUCUGAUGUAUGGGGCCCUGCCUAGUUACCUUCAAAUGAUUUUCGUCAUUACGUUUCGUUUGUGGACAUGCAUAGCAGAUUUACCUGGGUCUAUUUUCUUCAAAACAAAUCAGAAGUCGCUCGGUGUUUUAGAGAUUUCUAUCAGCUGGUUAACGUGCAAUUUGAUAGGUCUAUUAAAAUGCUACAAACUGAUGGUGGUGGUGAGUAUCGAGUACUAGCCCGUGAGUUAUCCUCUCUUGGUGUCCAACACAGGAUUGUGUGCCCCUACACUUCGGAGCAAAAUGGGGUAGCUGAGAGAAAACAUCGACAGCUUAUUGAUAUGGCUUUGUCACUAUUAGCUCAUGCAAGUCUACCGUUGAAGUUUUGGUUUUAUGCUGUUAUGCAUGCUGUUCACCUAACCAAUCGACUACCAACUCCGGUCCUCGGACAGACUAGUCCCUAUGAGGUUCUCCACCAAGUCAAACCAAGCUAUGAGCUCUUAAGGGUCUUUGGGUGUGCGUGCUUCCCAAAUCUCAGGCCUUUUCAGCCUCACAAGCUGAGUUUUCGGUCUCAACAAUGUGUAUUCCUUGGGAAUGUUCCUAAUACCAAGGGCUAUCGGUGUCUCGCAGAAGAUGGCAGCAUGUUUGUGUCUCGACAUGUAAUUUUUGACGAGAAAAAAUUCCCUUUCAAAGAUGGGUUCCAAACUAAGGCCGUCUCACAAAGCUCGCGGACGGUACCUCAUCGGUCUAUUCUCCCAAUAGUUUCAGCUGGUGGUUCGCAUGUUCCUGCUACGACAAGGGCAUCAGCUAGCCCAUCUACCAUAGGCAUCUCUCCUGGGCAGUCUCAACACAAUCCUACAGAGUCUCCGGCUCUUAAUGACACAAAUGGUCCACCUAAUAACUCUGACCUAUCUCCAUUACUACCUACUCGAGUCAAUCAUCACCCCAUGCAGACACGUUCAAAAAAUGGGAUUUUUCGACCUAAAGUGCUGGCUUCAGUCGUAGAUGAAGUUGAACCUACCACCAUUCAUGAGGCGUUUCAAAGUCCAGCUUGGACUACAGCAGCCGAGAAAGAGUACAAUGCCUUGAUUUCCAAUCACACCUGGGAGCUAGUUAGUUUACCUGAAGGUCGACGAGCCGUUGGAUGUAAAUGGCUCUUCCGUAUCAAGAGGCAUGCAGAUGGGUCUGUUGCUAGAUACAAGGGCAGACUCGUGGUCAAAGGGUACCUCCAGGAAGCCGGUGUUGACUUUCAAGACACUUUCAGUCCCGUCGUCAAACCCACCACAAUCAGAGUCGUCCUUGCCCUGGCCGUUUCUCACCAGUGGUCUCUUCGACAAGUUGACAUAAACAAUGCCUUCCUUAAUGGAGACUUGAGCGAGGAGAUUUAUAUGUCACAUCCACCAGGUUUUGAACAGUAUGGCUUACAUGGAGAGCCUCUGGUCUGCAAGCUAAAGAAGGCUCUCUAUGGUCUCAAACAGGCUCCACGAGCCUGGUUUCAAAAACUAAGGGAAUUUUUGGUGACCAUGGGGUUCGACACUUCCAAAGCGGAUAACUCGCUCUUCAUUCGACAUCGUGGGGAUGCUUUGUUGUACGUUUUAGUGUAUGUCGAUGACAUCAUCGUGACAGGCAGUGACUCACAGGAAAUUGAUAAGUUUGUCAAGACACUUGAUGGUCAGUUUGCGUUGAAGGACCUUGGCUAGUUGAGCUAUUUCCUUGGUAUUGAAGUCAAGCACACGUCGAAUGGGAUAGUUUUGUCUCAAACUAAAUACAUUAGAGACUUACUUCAAAAAGUAGCUAUGGACAGAUCCAAUGCUCUCCCAACACCAAUGGUUGCAAAUAAUCGUCUUACUGCUGAGGAAGGAAGCCCCCUUGAAGAUGAACAUCAGUAUCGCAGCAUCGUAGGAGCCUUACAAUAUAUCGUGAUCACAAGGCCUGACAUCGCCUAUUCAGUCAACAAGGUGUGCCAAUUCAUGCACAAACCACUAACCGGUCACUUCAAAGCAGUCAAGAAGAUACUACGGUAUUUACAAGGAACAAUGAAUUACGGAUUACAGUUUACUCGGGCUUCCAAAUUCCUUCUUGAAGGAUAUUCGGAUGCGAGUUGGGGAUCAGACGUUGACGAUCGAAGGUCCACCUCGGGGUAUUGUAUCUUCCUUGGAGGAAAUCCGGUCUCGUGGAGCUUGAAAAAGCAACACGUUGUGUCUCGUUCCACAACAGAGGCGGAAUAUAGGAGUGUUGCACAUGUCACUGCUGAAAUGACGUGGAUACAAUCCCUAUUAACUGAAUUGUGUGUUCCAAGCUUACCAAAGGCACUAAUUUGGUGUGAUAGUUCAGCAGCAAUAGCAGUUGCAGGAAAUCCAGUCAUGCACUCCAAGUUCAAGCAUGUGGAGCUAGACAUUUUCUUUGUUAGAGAAAAGGUGGCAGCUGGAGUUGUUCAAGUUGGUCAUGUCCCAGGGACCCAUCAGCUAGCAGACAUACUAACAAAGCCUUUGUCAGCCUCAGGAUUUAACCGGUUUCGGGAGUUACUUCGAGUGGUUAACACAAACUAAGGGGUUUUAGUUAGUCAGGAAAUGGAUGAGUAUGAGGAAUAUUAGGAGAUAAAGAGGUGUUGGUUAGCUGUUAUGCAUGCUGUUAACAGUUAGUUAGGUAAGGGCAGUUGUAACUGCUGUUGACUCACUGUAUAUAUACACACAUACUUUGCAUGAGAAAAUAAUAAGAAGAAAUGAUAGAUGAAGUUUUAUCCAGUAUUCUUGGAUGAUUAGCAGGUUGCAAGAUGCUUAAAUCGUUGCCUGAGCUAACAACAAGAAUAGGAAAUGUGAUAAUAGACGAUUGUUUUUCACUUGAAGUAGUUGCAAGUCCAUCAAAAAUAUGCAAUUUAGUGGGUGGUGAUGACAUUCGUGCCAUUAACUGCUUCAAAUUGGUUGAGAAAAUCAAUGCAUUAGCACUGCUGAAAGAACAUAUUAAGGUCUAUUAAUCUAUUUUUUCUCCCUUACAAAAUCUCAUACUUGAGAAUUUAUGGUUUUAGUUACCAGACGACUUGUGUUUUAUUUUGCAGGCACUUCCAAAUUCUAGAAAAUGGUUUGAUAAUGGCUUCUUUGAUAUUAUGAUGCCCGGAAGUGAAAUUCCAGAAUGGUUUAGCCAACAAAAAAGUGACUCUUCAAUUAAGAUACCCCUACCUAUCAACCUUCGGAAAGAUAGUCAAUGGAUUGGAGUUGCUUGCUGCUGCAUUUUUGUCAAUAAUGAUGCUUCAAGGAAUAAGAAGUUUAUCAGCUGUGAAGGAUCGAUUUUUCGAGGUAGAAAUUGUCGACCAAUUUAUUGGAGAAACCGGUGGGUAGGUCGAUACUUUCACAAGCCCAUAAUGAAAGAUCACCUUUUUCUUCAUUAUUUUCCGCGUGAUGAAUUAUAUCCAUUUUCCUUGGAGGAUAAAUAUGGUGACUGUGAAACGAAUAAUUUAUGGACAACAGAUUGCUUAGAUCAAAUAGGUGAUGAGCUUAAGUUUUGUUUCCAUACCAAAUUUGGACCAAAUUACGGUUGUGUUAAGGUGAAGAAGUGUGGUGUUAGAAUAGUGUAUGAGAAAGAUUUGGAAGAAAUGAAAGAGUUGCAGUGCCAUACCACUCAAUCUUCUCCAAAUUUUGAACACAUCCACCAACACUCUGCUCACAACCAUGGAUCAGUAGGUAGCACUUCUCACAUGAAACGGAAACGUAAUAUCUAUGAGGAAACGGAGGAAGAAGAGCCGCAACCAAAACGGAUGCAAAUUUUUUUCAAAUUUGUAAUGGGCCAAUCAAGAAAGAAGUAUUAACUGUGGUAAACUACUUAACCAACUUUGUCCUAUUAAUUUUUUUUACACAUCUUGUAUUUCAUUUAAACAAUUAUUCUAGACUUGUUUUGCAUAUGAGAUAUGAUCCUUCCAUUAUAUGCCAAAACAUUUUAAAAAAUUUUAUUCAUAUUCAUAUUCAACAUGUACAUAUCUCAAAUGUUAAUAACAUUGUUUUUUAUACCAUUUAAAAUUUUAGUCACUUAAUUCAUUCCUUUUUACAUUAUCGAAAUGUGUAUAUUUUAAUUGGUUUCACCUUUUUUUUAUUAAAAUUUUAUUUCAACUAUAUAUAUAUAUAUUCACUUACAUCUAUAUUUUAUUUGUAGGUUGAAGAUGAAGCAAAUUAAAACAAAAUUAUGAGGCAAAAAUGGAGACGAAGCAAGUAAUGAUAAAAUUGUCCACCAUAACCUCUUUUCCAUCGGAGCUGUCAAAAUGUGACAAACAAAAUUUAUCAUCGACAACAUGAACUUCAAGAAAGUGCAGCAUAAAUUUGAGGACUCUCAGAGACUCCAACAACAGAAUCACAUCUAAGAUCAGCAAGCUAAAAAUUUUAGCAUUCUAGUAGUUCAUGUCCUAAAUUUCUUGCUAUGUUAGGGGUCACAAGUGAUAGCAUCAUCAAUUUCUCGUAAAUAAAAUCCUUGGGAAUGAAACAAAAAUCUGUUAUUUGAAGGUAAAAAGAAUAUUCCGAAAGCCAAAAAGAAAUUUCUAAAUCAGGUCAUACAUACUCAAUCAGCACAUAGUGCUUAUAAAGUGUAGGACAUUCUCCCAAAUCGAGAACUAAAGAAAAACAUGAUGAUUUCUAAGAAACUAUAUCCAAAUUGUUGGUGUUAGGAACAAAAAAUGAACAAGUUCAGCUUGUGGCUUGAGCAGCAAGGCUCAAUGCUUGUUGAAGAAACAAUAGAACUUGAGGAAAAAUGAAAAGAAAAGAAAAGAAAACAAAGAAAAGUGAAGAGUAUUGGAACAAAAACUGAUAGAAUUCAUUCAAAUUUUAUCAAUGGCAUAAUGUCAAUACAUAAACCAAGCAAUUUGCUUGUCAAAAUCAGUAUAUGGUCACCUAAUUGCUACCUACUACCACUAAUAUAUUGAAACUUGUAAAAACAAGCUUGUACACUUAAACAAAGCUGAGUUAACAGCUCAUUCAUCAACAAAUUACAUCAACCAUCAACCUAACAUAGUUCAAAAUGAACUAAAAUACAUUACAUCAACUUAAGAUUACAAAAUAAACAAAAUAGGAACAGUUAUGCUUGCUCCAACAGCUUCCGCAUGGCUCGAUCUUCAUGGCCUGCUUGUUGUCUGCUUCUUUGCUACAUGCUGACCAACCUUCAACACUCCUCCUUGGUUAGCAUGUUGCAAACUCCUAAUUUCUUCCUUAAGUGCUCAAAUUAACUUUGUUACACUAAGGGCCUUGGUCAAAAUGUCAGCAAGUUGAUCCUCUGAAUUGCAAUGAACCAAUUUCACUUCUGAGCUUGCUCCAUUUCUCUAACAACAUGGAGUUGAAUGCUGAAAUGUUUUGUUCUUCCAUGGAACACUGGAUUCUUUGCAAUUGCAAUAGUAGAUUGAUUGUCACAAAAGAUCUUUGUUGCUUCCCUUUGAUGCACAUUCAAGUCAGCCAUAAUUUUUCUUAGCCAAAUGGCUUGGUUGACAGCACUUGCUGCUGCAACAUAUUCAGCUUCAGCAGUAGAUUGAGCCACUAGUGUUUGCUUCUUUGAACUCCAAGAAAACAUGGCUGAACCAAGAUUGAAAGCAUACCUUGAGGUGCUUUUCAUGUCAUCUAUCGAACUAGCUCAGUCACUAUCAGUGUAGCCAACUAACUUCAGGCUUUUAGCUUUGUUGUACAUCAAGCCAUGGUUCAAUGUACCCUUGACAUACCUGAGCACUCUUUUUACAGCUUGAAAGUGCUUCUCAUUGCUGCAAUGCAAGAACCUUGAAAGCAAACUCACAGCAAACAUAAUGUCAGGCCUAGUGUCUGUCAGAUACAACAAACAACCAACUAAGCUCCUAUAGGUUAUUUCACAAACCUUCUCAAAAUUACCAUGACUAGAAAGCUUCUCUCCAACAGCAACUGGAGUAUUGGUUGCUUUGCUGUUUUGUAUUGAGAACUUAGUCAGAAUCUUGGAGGCAAAUGCUUUCUGAUUUAGGAAUAUCCCAUUGUGCAUCUGUGUCACUUGCAUGCCAAGAAAAUGGGUCAUCCUUCCUAGAUCAGACAUCUCAAAAAUCUGCUGCAUUUUGGUCUUAAAAUCAAUCAGGAUUGCUUGGUCUCCUCCUGUUACCAACAAGUCAUCAACAUACAGGGACACAAUGAUCUGUGUUUGUACCCCUUCUUUCUUGACAUACAAUGUUGGCUCACUCUUGCUUCUCUCAAAUCCCAAACUGAUCAGAUAGCUAUCAAUUUUGCUAUACCAGGCCCUUGGAGCCUAUUUCAAGCUAUACAAGGCUUUCUUCAGUUUGUAGACCAUAUGUUCUUUACCAGCCACUUCAAAGCCCUGAGGUUAGGGGUGAGCAAAACUCGAUUCGACUCGAAAAAAUCGAAAAAAAUUCAAAUUUCGAGUUAAACGAAUCGAGUUAUUCGAGUUAAUUGAGUUAUUCGAAUCAACUCGAAUUUUUUUUUCAAAUUUCGAGUUCGAAUCGAGUUGAGUUUUCGAAUUCGAAUAAUUCGAAUAAUUCGAAUAUCAAACUAUAAUAUUUUACAUUUUUACCCCAAACUCCCAAACCUUUUUACUUUUCCCUCAAAACUUUUACUCCUUCUCACUUUCCCUCAAAACUUUUGCUCCCCUCCCCUCCCAACCCCCCAAUCUACCCAAAAUCCAUUUCACACCAAAAUUUUACUCUCCCAUUUACUUGUUCUCAAAAUUUUACUCCCCAAAACCUUCAAAACCUUUUAUUUUCCCCCAAAAUUUUUACUCCCUCCCACUUUUCCCCUAAAACUUUUAUUCCCUUCCCAUCCCACCUCCCAUCUACCCCAAACCCUCCCCCCUCCAAAUUUUUUUUAAUAUUUUCCCUCCAAAAUUUUACUCCCACUUAUUUACUUUCCCUCAAACUUCUAUUCCCCAAAACUUUUUAUUUUCCCCCAAAACUUUUACUUCUCACCCUUUACUCUCAAAUAAAAAAUCAAAAUUAUCCAAAAAAAAAACUAAAUAUAAAUAGUAAUAAUUUUAUUUAUAUCUAUUAUUUAUAUUAUUAAAUUAAAUUUCACAUUUUAUAUUAUUUAUAUUAUUGAAUUAUUUAGUCAUAUUGAAUAUUUAUAUUAAAAUUGAGUUAUUAAUUAUGCCAUAAAAUAUCCGUGUUAAAAUUUUAUAUUGGUAUCAAUUUCACAUUUUAAAUUUAAAAUAACUUUUAUUAAAAAAAAUCAUAUUUUUACAUUUAAUAUAUUUUCUAAUUCCAAAAUACAUAGUAACAAGAAUCUGAAGAUAAUUGAAACAAGUAAGUAAGCAAAGAAGCUAACCAAUAUAUAAAAAAUUAAUAAAUAAAUUAUGAGGUGAUGAAAGUUAAUCAAAAUUUGAUUAAGGUACACAAAUUUUAUUACGAUGGGUGACAAUGGUUACAAGGACCCAAAAUAAUUUUUUAAAAUUUAACUCGAAUAAAUAUAUUCGAUUCGAUUCGAUUUGAGAAAACUUCAAAUAAAGUUAGGAUGAUAAAAUGAGAUUCAAAAACUCGAUUAACUCAAAAAUUUUUGAUUCGAUUCGAUUCGAUCGAAUGCUCACCCCUACCUGAGGUUGUUCAACAUAGAUCUCUCCUUCAAGAAAUCCAUUGAAGAAGGCUGACUUCACAUUGAGCUGGUGGAUUUUCCACUGCAUUUGUGCUGUUAAGGCAAUCAGAAGCCUGAUGGUGCCAAGCCUGGCCACUAGUGCAAAGGUUUCCAAGUAAUCCAAACUAUACUUCUGGCUAAACCCCUUGACAACCAGCCUUGCUUUCAGCUUAUUCAAGCUCCCAUCAGCAUUAUGCUUGGCUCGAUAGACCCAUUUCACCCCAAUGAUCUUCCUUUUGGCUGGUCUUUCAACUAGUUCCCAAGUCUGAUUCUUCUCAAUCAUGCUGAUUUCAUCAUCCAUUGCUUGCUCCCACCCUUGCUGAGCUUCAACCUCUUCAAAGCAGCUUGGUUCUGCUAUGGCUACUUGAGCUCUUUCAUAAAUUUCAGCCAAAGGUCUAGUGCCCCUGACUGGUUCAUCAUUAAUGUCCAUUUCAAGACCAUUUUGAUCUAGCUCAGUUUGGUCUGUUACAAGGUCUUCAGAAACUACCUAUAGCUCAUUCUUUUCCCAACUCCAGCAUGACUUCUCAUCAAACACCACAUCUCUGCUUACAGACACUUUACUUGUUGAAGGAUCCAAGAUCCUAUAGCCCUUUUUGACUGUGUUAUAUCCCACCAAAAUACCAGGUCGAGCUCUUUUAGCCAGCUUAUCCCUUUUAACAGUAGGCACAUGUGCAUAGCAGAUAUAACCAAAGACCUUUAGGUGAGCCAAUGAUGGCUUGAAUCCAAACCAGGCCUCAAAAGGAGUUUUGUGAUCCAAGGCCUUGGUAGAAAGCCUAUUUUGGAUGUACACAGCAGUGUUAGCUGCCUCAACCCACAAGGUUUUAGGUAAAUUCUUCUCAAAUAGUAGUCAUCUGGCCAUAUCCAUCAAGCUCCUGUUCUUCCUCUCACUUACACCAUUUUGUUGAGGAGUAUAGGUGUUGGUGAGCUAGUGUUUGAUGCUUGCCUCAUCACCAAAAAACUGGAAUUGAGCUGAGGUGUACUCAGUCCCAUUGUCAGACCUUAUAGUCUUGAGCUUGCAGCCUGUUUCAGUUUCAGCACCAAUCUUGAACUUUGAAAACACUGAGCCUACCUCUGAUUUCUGCUUCAAAAAAUAAAUCCAGCAAAAUCUUAAAAAAUCAUCAAUAAACAGAAUGAAGUACCUGCUUCCAUUCAGUGACUUGAUCUUCAUAGGGCCACACACAUCAAUGUGGCCUGAUUUGAAGGAAAUGGGAGCCUAGCUUACUGUCCUAGCUGGCAUAUUUCACAAACCUUCUGUUUUUCAACUGAACCAAUGAAAUUUUUAGCCAAGUCAUCUCUGGAUAGCUGAUCCAUUGAUCUGUAGCUGUUGUGGUUGUAUAGGCAGUGUCUGAGCCAUUUGUCCAAUCAACAACAAAGCUCUUAUCAGCCAUAGUGACUGCCAUGAACUUGGAUCCACUUGGAUCACUGAUUUGGCACUCAUUGCCUUUGAACACUACAGAAUACCCUUUUUGUAGCUGUUGAGCUAUGCUAAGCAGGUUUCUAUCAAUUUCAGGUACCAACAACAUAUUCGAGAUGAGCUUGUUACCUGUAGGAGUGCAUAUCAACACAUCUCCUUUAUCUUCUGCCUUAAUAAAAUGACCAUUACCAAUAUUAACUUUGGUUUUGCAGCCUCUGUCUAAGGACUUAAAAAUGGCAGCAUUUUGUGUCAUGUGGUUUGUGCAGCCACUGUCCAAGAGCCAGCCAUUUGUAAGCUUCUCCUGAGGAGCUGAGCAUGACACAGCAAAAACUUGCUCCUCAUGGUCACUAUCUUCUUUUGCUACUCGAGCCUCAGCCUUUGGCUAUUGGAGUUGGUUCUGCUUUGGCUUGCCCUUGCUUUUGUAGGCCUUUUCAACAUGCCCCAUCUUUUUGCAAUAUUGGCAUUACACAUCUGUUCUAAACCAACAAUUUGCUUCUGGAUGACUAGACCUUUUUCAAUGCCUGCAGGGUUGGUCCCUUCUUUUUGCAGGAUCAGACUUUGGCUUAUCUCUCCAAGUCUUUUUGCCCUUGUAGGCAAAGGUGCUCAAGACAUGUUUGGUUUUUGCUUGAAAGGCACAUUCUAGGCGCUUCUCUAGUCUGCUAGCUCUUCUCUACUCUUGUGCAUAGAGAGCAUUGAUCAGCUCUGUCAGUGAGAUGUUGGUCAAGUCUCUUGAAUCUUCAAGGGAUGAAAUUUUUGCCUCAUACCUCUCUGGUAAGGUUGAAAUCACCUUUUCCACUAUCCUUGCUUCAUUGAACUGCUCACCAAGGAGCCUUAUGCUGUUUACCACAGCCAUAAUCCUGUCUGAGUACUGUUUGACAAUUUCUUCUUCCUUCAUUUUCAAAUUCUCAAAGUCCCUUCUUAGGUUCAACAAAUGUUGUUGCCUUGUCCUCUCUGUCCCUUGAAACUCCUCUUUUAAUUUGUCACAGGCCUGCUUUAGUGUUUCACAGGCCAUGAUCCUUGGAAAAAUCACAUCUGACACUGAGUUUUUAAUGCAAGAAAUGGCCUUGUGCCUUUUGGUCCUUUCAUCAGCAUGCUGCCUGAUCUGAGCCACUGUUGAAUUCGCUCUGAGUGGCUCUGGUUCAACAUCUUAGUUGACCACCUCCCACAGAUCGAAUGCCUGCAGAUAGGUUUUCAUUUUGACCACUCAUAUGUGAUAGCCUUCUCCAUUGAAGACUGGUGGUGCAGUUGGUGAGAAGCUUGAUGAGGCCAUUGUUUUGUAAAAUAGGUCCCUUAAGAUUAAGGCUCUAGAUACCAAUUGUUGGUGUUAGGAACAAAGAAUGAACAAGUUCAGCUUGUGGCUUGAGCAGGAAGGCUCGAUGCUUGCUGAAGAAACAAUAGAACUAGAGAAAAAAAGAAAAGAAAAGAAAGCAAAGAAAAGUGAAGAGUAUUGGAACAAAAACUGAUAGAAUUUAUUCAAAUUUGAUCAAUGGCAUAAUGCCAAUACAUAAACCAAGCAAUUUGCUUGUCAAAAUCAGUAUAUGGUCACCUAAUUGCUACCUACUACCACUAAUACAUUGAAACUUGUAAAAACAAGCUUGUACACUUAAACAAAGCUGAGUUAACAGCUCAUUCAUCAACAAAUUACAUCAAUCAUCAACCUAACAUAGUUUAAAAUGAACUAAAAUACAUUACAUCAACUUAAGAUUACAAAAUAAACAAAAUAAGAAUUGUUGUGCUUGCUCCAGCAGCUUCUGCAUGGCUCUAUAUUCAUGGCCUGCUUGUUGUCUCCUUCUUUGCUACAUGUUGACCAACCUUCAACACAAAUACAUGUGCAAACAUGAUAGUUACAACAGAAAAGACUACAUAAAAUGCCCCAACAACAACCGAAACUCUAAAGGGCGGCAUGAAAGUACAUUAAGUGCUAAUACAACAUGAUAAGUUGAUAACUUACGCAAGCAAGAACCAGACUUCAAUCCAAUAAAACCACACACCAGUAGCAAAGCAAAAUUAUUUUGAAGUCAGCUGAACUAAAACUUUAGAACUUUUAUAGAGAAAUUAAAUUGAUUAUGAUCUGAAUGGGAUUAUAUGUUGAAGGCUAGAAGUUUCAACCUAAAAUGUACUAAACAAUGCAUGGAUAUAAUUUCAAGACAUGAUACGUCAGCCAAUUAAGGUACAAAAGCAAGCAAUCAUACAUUUUUGCAAGUUAUUUGCACUCCAUUUACUUCUUAUAGAAAAAGAGAACGAAAAAUCAUAACAAUGCUCAAAAUAUAGUUGCAAGAUUCAUUCAGUUCAAAGGUGGUUGAAAUAGAGUUUGUAACAAACCUGAUUGCCAAGAAGGUUUCUGACACAUCUCGAGUGUUGGCUGAUACAGAAGCCAAAAAUCCUACAGGCUUGAGGAUCUUGGUUAUGACAGGUGCACUUAAAGAAUUAUCAAUUGGGGACCUAUGACUUGAACUGUCUGCUGCUAAACCAAGAUUUACGAUUUCCAUCUCUGCAUCUGUAAUUGCAUAGCCAACAUGGACAUUUGUAGCUUUUGGAGUCAAAUUAGGUCCAGAAGAGUCUGGGUCCCGUUUAAACCUCUUAACAGAACCAGACUUCCUUCUUUUAGCUCCCGUGUGACUCUGAACUGAUUCCCCACAGUCAACCUUUGGUAACCCAUAUACAGGUCCAUCACCUUCAGAAGCUUUGCCUUCUUGAAACCGAAUUGCAAGCUUAUCUGUAUUGCCCCCUUUAGAAGAGAAUGCACCUUUUAGCUCACUAAGUUUGGUAUCAUAAUCAUUUUUAUUCUUUGUCUCAUCAAUUUUCUUUGAACCGUUUCCAAAAUUGUUAUCCUUAAGCUGUCAUCGUUAUUUGUUUCAUUGAAAAGACCAAGAUGCUGGACGGGAUAAGCUCCAGGAAUUCCUUUGUUAGGAAGAUUACAAAGGCUAUUCCAUGGCCAUGGAAGUAUCCCGGUACAAAUGCAAAAAAUGAAUGUGGUAGAAAAGGAGGAACCACUAGCAUUUAUUGAGACCAAACGGUAGCAAUGAUUUCUAUUUGGUUAAAUUUUGAUGUUAGUUUUGUAUUAUUUAUAAAGUUAAAUUUAGUCCAUAUUCUCCAACUAGAUUAUCUUUAAUUCUUAUAUAUUUCGAAUUUUAAUUUUAAUGAAAACAAUAAUAGUUAAAUGUAUUUGCCACAUCAAAUUUUAAUGAAUUUAAUUUGCACCAUUUAAUCUUAUGUUCAGUUGAGCACUUUGAUCCACUAAAUCUUUCCUCUUUGUAUACCCUCCUCAUGCACAAGCAAAUGGCAACACCAACUAAUAUACACACACUUGCCACUGGAACCAUGAUCCAAACCCAUAGUUGAUUGCCAUUUCCUCCUAUAUCAGUAUCAGAAAACACCCACAAUUUCACACGGUUGAGCUCAGUUUCAUUGCUUGUUGAACCAAAGAAUCCCAUGAAAACCUUCUGCGGAAGAUAAGUAGAGAGAUUAGUAGGUUAAGAAAGCAUAAGUGUCUGGUUGUGCCCAAUGAAAAUUGAUAGGUUUCGGCCGUCAAAACAAAUAUAAACCUUUAAAUCCUGACCUCCGACUGAAAUAUGAACAUCGUAGUUGCUUAAAGAAACUUGCUUGGUCGAUUGGAUUCUGUUUAUGUUUAACCUAAUAUGGUUGUCAUCCAUAUCUUGCUCGUUGCUCUUCCUGGUGUCAAAUUCCACCGCCACCACACUGGCUUGAUUGAGAAGAACCAUUUGUGUUCUCAUUUACCAUCCCCAGCCACUGUCUUUGGCUGUUGUCCAGUAGGCUGGAGUUGUUUAUUAAAAAGGCAACACCUUCGCCACCACUAGAGGUUUGAUUGAGGAUAUUGAGGAUGAACUCGUAUUGAAAGAAGCAAUGGUGGUGUGGUUGCCUUUCCAAAGCCGAAAUGGUUUCUUAUACAGAGCUCGUCCAGAAAAAUGUUCCAUGGAACCUCCAUAACAUCUGGAGUAAGUUGGAUGGCUCCAAGAACUAUGUAAGAAUUCCUACUCAAGAUAAGCUGGCUUUCACCUUCUUUUUUGAAAGUUAAAAAAUUGAACUAAAAAGGCCUUCUAUUAUAUAUCAAAAGAUUUUAAAAUUUUUAUUCAUACUCAUAUUGAUAACAUAGUUUUUUAUACGUUUAAAAUUUUAGUCACUCAUUUUUACAAAAUGUGUACGUUUUGAUUGGUUUUACUUUUUUUUUAAUUUUAUUUUCAUUGUAUAUAUUCACUUACAUCUAUAAUUUAUUGUAGGUUGAAUUAAAUUUAAUCAACUUAAUACCAAAAUGUGGAAAGCAAUGAACAUAUUUUGUGACGAAGCAGGUAAUAAUAAAGUGAAUCCUUUGAUAAGGAUUGAUCAUAAUUUCAGCUGUGAAAUGAUAAAAUUAACAUAUUUUAAUCUCAUUCUUAAUGCGUUUUUGGAUGAGUAUUUAUGCAAAUUGGUGAAUUUGAUGCUCCUAAUCCUUUGAAUUCAUGUUCUUAUAUUUAGGUGAAUAUUAGAGAGCAGAAGAAGCGAAAAAUGAGCGAAAAUCAGAGAAAAAGAGCAAAUUUCAGGAGCCACACGGCUGGACACAUGCCCAUGUGCCGGCCCGUGUUGAUUUCGCACUUUGCUUCCCAAACACGUGGAAAAACAUAAUUUUUAGGCUUUCUAAACAUUUUAAAGUCUAUAAAUACCAAAUAGAAGAAGAGAUAGGGGAGCCACUAGAGAAGCUCGAAGAAAACACUUAAGGCACACCAUUGGAGUUAAUUCCCUAGAUACUUGGGAGGAUGAAACCUAUAACGAAUUCUAUUAUUUAAUAUCUAAUUUACAUGAUAAAUACUUUAUUCUUAUUCUUAAUUAUGCGUACUUAUUUCUUAUUUUAAUAUUUCUGGGAUAUUAAUUCAUGUUUAAUGUGCUUAAUUUAGUGGAGGAAAAGUCCCUGUUUAAGAGUAAAUCUAGCAUAAUUGAGUGGAGUUGCAUGCAAUCCUAUAAAUAGGACGACAUAAAUCUACCUGAUUAGAGUCAAAUCUAAUAAGGGAAUCCAUAGAUUUAGUUACUGCGACAAUAGGGGUUUUAAUUAGAAAGAGAUUUCAAUUAAUCAAUCUAAUUAAAGUCAAUUGUUCUUACUCUCGAAAUAGAUAUUAGCAUAGUUUAGGGAUUUCUACGAAUUAAGACACCAAGUAAAUAAAUCGUUUAAAUCAAAAUAAUAAUAAUAGAGGGAAUCCAGGUGGAUUACGCAUUUUUAUUUGUAAUGUUAUUAUAUAAUUUGUUAUAUAAUUAUGUUAUUAUACUAUUUUAAAUGGGGUUUUUGAAUUUUUUGUUUGAAAAAUAUAAAUUUAGUUGUAAUGUUAAUAAAAACUUUUAAAUAGGUAUAAUGACAAAAAAAUGUUCUUAGCAUUUAUAAGAUUUUAAAUAGGUAUAAUGACAAAAAAAUGUUCUUAGCAUUUAUAAGAUUUUAUUUUGAGUUAAAUUAUAAUUUUUUUAAUGCAAAAUGUUGAUUAAACAAUAGCCUUAUUUAAGUUUAUAACGUGAUAUGAAUAGUAAACUCUUUUCAAGGUUGGUCUCAAUUGGAUCAUCUUUCACAAUAGUCUUAUUUAAGUUUAUUAUGUUUUCUCAUUUGUUUCUAAUUUAUGAUGGGCUUCAACAGCUCUUGUAUAAGUUGAAAAUAAUGAACCUCAAAUGCAGCUGAGAUGGGAUUGCAUGUGGGAUUCUCGAGGGUGGAAUCGAAGGGGAGACUCCUUAUCUUUGAUUCGGAAGCUGCAAACAAAGGGAGUUGAAGGUCAGUGAUAGGAGCCUACAUCUCAAAUAUUAGAACUACCUGUGAAGGGUAUCAAAUCUGUGUAAACAUGGGCCAAAACAAGCAAACGGAGUUACACAUCUAUUGGCUACAGAGGGAUUAAAGAGAGAUGAAGAAACUUAUCUUGUUGGUGCGGUUCCUUCAUACGCGAAAGUAGCAGCGGAAGACGACCGUCAACAGUUGGGCUCACUUUGUCCAGCAGGUCGAAGAUCCACUGCUUAGAAAGAAGAUAAAAUGGGAUUUUACUGUGGGCAAGCAGAUUGAAGAAUAGAUGGACUACUGGGUUUCUUAGUUUCGGCGGAGAAUAAAUCGGAUAUAUUAUUAACUUUAAAUUUAAUUGUUAAAUUGGGCUCGAGCUUGAACACAUAUGAAUUUAAUCAAAUUCAAGUUGAAUGUUAAAUAUGAAAUUUAUUUUUAUUUAUCCAAAAAGCAGAAAUGUUUACAAAUAUCUAUAGUAUACAUUUGUAAUUCCCCAUGCUAUAAAAAGUUCUUAUUGCCUUGAUCUCUCAGAUUCACAUUAACCUCUACCAGCCUCAUUCCCACUAACUCCUUUACUAUUCCCAAGUAAUAUAAAGCGUAAUAAAAAGUAGAUAUCUCAAUUGAGUGGGCUGAAUCUAUAUAGAUGUUAAUUCAAUUUAGAUUUGAGUUAUUUUCUAUUUGAGUUAAAUUUUUAUGUAAUAGUUCAAAUUGAUUCGAAAUUAAGUCAUUUUAGAUAUGAAAUUUAAACUUUUUAGGUUUAAUUAUUAUGGGUUAUGAAAUUUUUAGAUGAUUAUGAAUUAUUUUGGGUUUGACGAAAAUAUUACAUAAAUGUCAUUCCUAGAAUUAGCUUCAUGGUGAAUUGAAGGUCACAAUCUGGAUUUGUUCAUAUUUUAAGGUUAUUGGUAUUCUCCUCACCUAAUAUACUAAACAACCUAUAGUGUAAAGAGUGUAUUUGAUGGUUACCAAAUUAACUAUAAAUAUGAUUAAGGCAAGAACACCUAUCGAGCAAUAGUAUAGUUAUGGUGAGUAGGAAAUAUCAUAUCCAUGAGGACUAAAAGUACUAGUAAUUACUGUUUUUCUAUUAUUUAGCUGACAAAUUGGAGUGAUUGUUUUUAAUCUAAAAUUACUGAACUAAUCCAACUAAGAACGCAACAGAGAAUGAAAUAAGAAAAAUAAUCGAAGAUUACCAAUGAGAUAGACAAUACCCAGGAAAGAAUCCACCUAGACUUCACCUAUUAUUCUAAAUCUGAAUUAAAUGAUUUAUUCACUUGUGUCUUGAUCCGUAGAAAUCCCUAAUUUAUGUUAAUAAAUAUUUUAAGAGUAAGAACAACUGACUCUAGGUUGAUUACUUGAAAUCUCUUUCUAAUUAAAAUCCCUAUUGUCGCAUUAACCCGGUCUAUGGAUUCCCCUAUUAGAUUUGACUCUAAUCCGAUAGAUUUAUGUCGUCCUAUUUCUAGGAUUGCAUGCAACUCCACUCAAUUAUGCUAGAUCUACUCUUAAACAGGGACUUUUGCUCCACUGAAAUAAGCACAUUAAACAUGAAUUAAUAUCCUAAAACUAUUAAAACAUGAAAUAAGCAUACAUAAUUGAGAACAAGAAUAAAAUAUUUAUCGCGUAAAAACAAAAAUUAAAUAAUAACAUUCAUCAUAGGUUUCAUCCUCCCUAGGUAUCUAGGGAGUUUAGUUCAUAAUCCUGAAUAAAAACAUCUCAGAGUUAGGAUAACAACAAGACAUAAAGAAACUCAAUAAAACUUCGAGGGAAAUUAAAUGGAGAUCUUCAAUCUUGAAGAAGAUCCACUUCUGAGUUGAUUCCCAUGGCGUUCUUCGAGUCUUUUCUUCAAUCUUCCCUGAGUGCCCCCUUAAAUCUUCUUCUAAUUGGUAUUUAUAGACUUUAGAAUGCUCAGAAUGCUUAAAAAUUGGGUUUUUCUGCGUAUUUAGAAAGCAGGGUGCGAUAUUGACACAGGCUAGCACAUGGGCAUGUGGCCAGCCCAUAUGGAAAUGCCUAGGCUAUGUGGAUCCUAGAAACAACUCUAUUUGUUUGAUUUUUCGCUCUCAAAUGCUCUCCUAAAUAUAGAAACAUGAAUUUAAAGAAUUAGGAGCAUAAAAUUCACUAAUUUACAUAAUUAAUCAUCCAAAAAAACAUUAAGAAUGAGAUUAAAAUAUGUUACUUUUAUAACUUAUCAGUAUUCGAAAUUAUAUUCUAAUUAAGAUACCCCUACCUAUCAACAUUCAGAAAGAUAAUCAAUGGAUUGGAGUUGCUUCUUGCUGCAUUUUUGACAAUAAUGCUUCAGGACAUUCUAUCGAUUGUGGAGGAUUUAUUUUUCAAGGUAGAAAUUAUCGAUAGCUUGGUUUGAGAUGCUUGUUCUUGGGUAAAGGAAUAAUGAAAGGUCACCUUUUGCUUCAUUAUUGGUCGCGUGAUAAACUAUAUCCAAUUUCCUUGGGAUAAAUAUAGUGACUGUGAAUUCAAUAAUUUAUUGUCAAUAGACUGCUUAGAUCAAAAUUGUGAUGAGCCUGAGAUGUGUUUCAUAGAUGCAUAUGAUUGAAAUUUGCAAGUGAAGAAGUGUGGUGUUAGAAUAGUGUAUUGGUGUGUUGUUAAAAACACUAAAAAUAAUCUAUCCCUAUAAUGAAAAGAAUAGUAUAAGGGAAGUAGGGUGAAAUCCUCAGGGACUGGAUUGCUACAACUUCUUGUUCCUCGAAAUCCUGGGCACAGUCGUGCCCGAGAAAAAGCGGUGUACAUAAUCCUUCUCAUGAUAGAAUAAACCAGUUAGUUAUAGUGGAAAAGGAUGCCUAUGACCACCAGCUCCACUUAGAUUUUAGACUUAUGAUUUAGAGGAACCUGACUCUAGCCAACCGUCACUUUCGUGGGACCAUCUUACACUAGAUCAUUGUUUCUCAAUGACGAAUGCCACCAUUUCGUCUCUUGGGCUCAACAACCUCUGACGCAGUAAGUUAACAAACCGGCUGUACAACUCUCCUAAAAUAUACAAAGCUGCUGCCUUUGCACAAGAUAAAAAGGUCACUUUUGGAAGGUCAUGGACGGAAGCGUUAAUCCCGUAAUACAGAGAAAUGAUGAAUACUCGUUGAGAAUGCUAAGUGCGAGUUCUAAGCCUCAUGAACCCUUUUUUGGAGAAUCUCAACAAUCUUUGGCCAGAUGAAUUUAAUGGCUCAUGCUUUUCGGGAAAAAGAAAUAAGUUUAAUGGAAUGGAAUUUAAUUGGGAAAUAAAACUAAAGGAACAAAAAGGCUAGAGAGCCUUAGAGGGAAAUGAGUGUUUUACAAGAAUUGAUGAUUGAAUAAUUAUGUCACUCCAUCCCCUAUUUAUAGUACAUAGAAAACCUAGUUUGUUCCUAUUUAAACUCUAAAAGAUAAAUAAAGAUAAAAGUUGAAAUUAGAUCUAAAUAAUAAUCCUAAUAAAAUUCAAAUUUAAAUAGAGUCUUAUGUUUAUAAAUCUCUUUUUUGAAUUUUUGCCCCCAAAUCUUUCACAGUUUGUAUUUUCGACACCACUUCUUUCCUAUUUUGCAUGCUAACCCAUUUUGUCUUUAAAUUCAGGCUUUUUGUCCCUAAAUUUCCUUUUGUCUUUAAUUUAGUCCCUACAAGAUGAAAAACCUUUCCUUUUAUCUUCAAUUUAGUCCCUACAAGACGAAAAAUCAUAAACAGCCCAAAUUAGUAGGAUCAUGCUUAAAAUAUAUAUGUAAUUAAUACAUUAAAAUAUGCCACUCAAUCUUCUCCAAUUUUUGAACCAACGAUUGACCAGUAGGUAGCAAUUCUCACAUAAAACGAAAACAUAACGUCUAUAAGGAAGCGGAAGAAGAAGGGCUCCAACCAAAAUGAAUGCAAAAAAAAAUUAAUUUUAUAAUGGGCCAACUUUGUCCUAUUAGUUUUUUUUACACAUCUAUGUAAACUUAUUUGCUUAUGAGAUAUAAUCACUUAUUUGCUUAUGAGAUAUAAUCAUUCUUAUAUAUAAAAAAAUUUUAAAUUUUUUUAUUUAUACUCAUAUUAAACAUGAGCUCAUAUUCUAUGCAUAUCCCAAAUGUUGAUAACAUAGUAUUUUUUUAGACCAUUUAAAAUUCUUCUUUAUUUUUAUGAUUUUUCUAUUUUUAAAAAAUUUAUGUAUUUUAAUAUUAUAUAAUUUUUUAAAUUAUGAUUGACUUUUUUUGGGUAAACUACAAAUAUAGUCACUUUUGUUUCACUCAGAUUAUAUUUUAGUCACUUAUGUUUGAAAUGUUAUGUUUUAGUCACUUGCGUAUCGUUUUGUUACGAAGUGGUCACUCUACCAUUAAGUUCCGUUACCUCCCUAACGGCAAUCCUACGUGGCAGUCCAAAUGGGUUUUAAAUCCUAACUUGGAUGUCUAAUUGGUACGACAAUAGAUUUUUAUUUAAAUAAAUUUAAUUAAUUGAAAAUUUUAAAUUAAUUACAUGUUGAACUGGAAAAGAAAAAUCAUUCAUCUCUUUUUUCUUUUUAGUUUUCUUUUUCAUUUUAACUGAAAAAAUUAUUCUCAUCCUAGUUGAAAAUCCAAGUUGUCAUUUAAAACUCAUUUGGACUGCCACGUAGGAUUGUCAUUAGGGAGAUAACGGAACUUAAUGGAAGAGUGACUACUUCGUAACAAAACGAUAACGUAAGUGACUAAAACGUAGCAUUUCAAACAUAAGUGACUAAAAUGUAAUUUGCGGCAAACAAAAGUGACUAUUUUUAUAGUUUACUUUUUUUGAAUUUUAGAGUUUAGGUUAAUUUUGUGAACUCUUUCUUGGAAUCUUCAUGGAGAGAACAUCUAUCAUCUCCCAAUUUCCACACCUACGCGCUUGAGGGAAAUGAGGUUGUUGUUUUGGGAGGUUGAAAGGUGAGGGGGAGCUGUUUGGGAUGGUGGUCGGUAAUGGAAGAUGAGAGUGAUGAAGCCCGGGUGUAUUGGUGAUGUUGGUGGUGAAGAUGGGAGCCUCGAGUGAUAGACAGAGAAUGGUGAAAAGGCCCCUGGGUUAGCUUAGAGAUGAAAUUUUCUGCUACUGUUGCCUCCAAACACAGAAUUGCUAACCUACCCCGCUUGAAUUUUGUAGAUUGAUUUUAUAACAGAAACCAGUGGAGCAUGUUGUGUGUGGUGGUUGCAGUGUAACCUGUCCCAAGCUACUAGAAACACAUUAGGAUCUGUUUGUAAAGUUAAUAAAAAUUUUGGGACUUUUAUUCAAAAUUUGAUCUAUUUCUCUCCUUCAUGCUCAUAUACUAUACUAUAUUGAAAAUAUAUUAAAGAGAUUUGACAAGGAUUGUACAUUAGGUGAUGCUUAUAUCAUUAAAAGGGACAAGAAACUAAUAGCAUUCCGUUAUCCACUGCUUAUAAAGAAAUACUAAUAUAAUAAAAUUUAUGCUAAAAUCAAUUUAAUGUUUUUUAAUCGGAUUUGUAGUCGAAUUGAAUAGGUUAUUAGUUUGUUGGUCCAAUGAUUAAAAAUUAUUAAAAUUUAAAAAAGUUAAAGUAGAGUUUGUUGGUCGAAUUGAAUCGGUUCGUAUCAAUUUUCAAUCUAAUCAAUUCAAAAUCACUCUAUGAACCAAUACUCUGUCGGCUCCUGAUCUAAUCGAUCGAUCAAUCCGAUUCAAAAAAGACUGAAUCAAUAGAUAAAAGAUGAGAAUAAUUCUUAAACACAACCUGCAAAUUAUGAGAUUAAUUAUAUCUCAAAUUGAUCCAACAUAAAACAGAUAAAAAGAAAAGGUUUCAACAACUCUUCCAAUACAUAUUAUGCUUUAAUGAUCCCACACCAUGUUAAUGAGUUGCGUACUGCACCUUCCUCGAUGGGCAAGCAUAUUUCCCACAUGGGAUUCUCACAAGGAAUCACAGCUUCUUUACUGCAACAACAUGGAAAAAAAAAACUUGAUGGAAAUAAUUUAAGAUCAAAAUUAAACACCAAUAUAUACACACAUAGAAAAUAAAGAGAAACUUAGAGCUAACAUAUAUAUACACACAGACAUACACAUACAUACAUUCGGUAUUUCCAGCGUUUUGUCCAGUUCUUCUUCUCUUCUACUUCUUGCAUGUAAAAGUAAUAUUCCCAUGCCGAUCACCGGUCCCUGUACAACAAAACUUUAAAAGCAAUGAACUAUAUACAUAUACGUUAGUUUUUUGAUUGGAAAUGAGACCCUUUCAUUUCUCUUUUCACACACUCGCAUUGAACAACAAUGGAGGGGAAAUAGAGUAAGAAUUAGUUCAUUGAUCCUUGUUUUAGCUUAUUUCAAGAUGGAUGAUUGAAAUUUGAUUAUGAUAAGAAUAUAAAAACAAACUUGAGGUUUUUUUUUUUAUGUUUUUUUAUUGCUUUCGAAGUAUUGUUCUCAACAGCCCAUAUAUAAGUUGAAAGUGAUCAACUUUAAAGGGUCCCAAAACCUGAUCAAUACCCCAGACUUUAAAAUUGUAGAUGUCCAUCCAUCAUUCGGAAUGCUUAAGAGGCUUAAACUUUUGAAUUUCAAAGACUGCAGAAGUCUUAGUAGUCUUCCAACCAGAAUUGAAGUGAAAUCCCUUGAAACAUUGGUUCUUUCGUGUUGCUCAAAUCUUCAAAGGUUUCCAGUUAUCGACGGGAAAAUGAAAUGUUUAAAAACUCUUAAUCUUUCUGGUUAUUAUAGAGUUUAAAAUUUACCAGAGAAUUUGCAGCAAGCGAAGUUUUUAGAAGAGCUCGAUUUAAGUGAAACAGCCAUAGCAGAGCCACCAUACUUCACUUUUCAAUCUAAAAAUCUUAAAUUCAGUGGGUUUGGCCCGAGAACAUCAAUCCAUUAACAUUGCUAAUUAUGAAAUACGUAAAAUACAAAUCGUCCAACAUUUUUAAUUAUUACUUAUAAUUAAAGUAGACUCCACUUUGCCAACUCUCACCUUCUUGGAAACAACAUCCAUCGCUCAUCUUUGACCCCUAUGCUCAUAUACUUACUUUUCUAUUUUCUGAUUUUGAACACCAGAUUGAUAUAUUCUUCUCCUUUCAUCCAUCCUCAUGUAUAUAGACAAUUAUAUGAUUAUGUAACUGAAAGCAAUACACAAACCGUCCAACACUUUACUCAUUACUUAGAAUUAUUGCAGGCUCCAUUUUGUCAACACCCACCUUCUUAGAUUCUUCCUGGAAAGAGCAUGCAUCACCCAAUGUCCACACCUACUCGUAUUCAUUUCGAAAAUUCAAAGGUUAUAGAGAAAUUGCUUAGAAACGUCCCUUAUUCUUCCCUGGAAUUUUCAUCUGUUUUUCUCAAUCUUCACUCUCAUAUACUUAUUGUUUCUAGUUUCUUUCUGGCGUAUUGAGCGAUCAAUUUUCUGAUUUUUAACACUACAUCCACAUAUAUAUUUUUCUUCUCAAACAUCGUCAUGUUGUCAUUACCUUCAACUUCCUCAUACAUUUCCAGAAAGAAAUAUGAUGUUUUCUUGAGUUUUAGAGGUGAAGAUACUCGCAAAAACUUCACCGAUCAUCUCUAUGCUGCUCUAAAGAGGAGUGGGAUCGUCACUUUCAGGGAUGAUCCAAAGCUGGAGGCCGGCGAAGAGAUCGCGCCAGAACUCUUUAAAGCAAUUCAGCAAUCAAGGUGCUCGGUAAUCGUUUUUUCACAAACUUAUGCCUUUUCAAGUUGGUGCUUGGAGGAGCUUGCUGAGAUUCUUCAACAACAUAACAACGACGGCCAUAAAGUGUUUCCAAUUUUUUACGAUGUUGAUCCAUCUGAUUUAAGAAAACAAAAAGGGAAAGUGGAAGAAGCCUUUGACAGACAUGAAGAGAGAUACAAAGAAGAAAGUGAGAAGAUCCAAAGGUGGCGAAAUGCUUUAAUUCAAGUGGCUGCAAUCAAGGGANNNNNNNNNNNNNNNNNNNNNNNNNNNNNNNNNNNNNNNNNNNNNNNNNNNNNNNNNNNNNNNNNNNNNNNNNNNNNNNNNNNNNNNNNNNNNNNNNNNNACUUUUUUUUUUUUUUCUAAUCCUAUGUGUUAAUUCAAAAGUGUCAUAUUUCAAUAAAAGAGCAAACUUUGUAUUCUGGCUACGCAACAGAUCUUGCUUUCUUAUUCUUGGUUCUUGUUUGCUUCCAAACUAUAUUAUGUUUGAUGAUUCAUUGAAAAAGAAAGUGCAUUCGAAACAUAUCAACAAAAUUUUACUCAAAACAUUAAAAUUUAUUUUUUUUAGGCAUGAAUCAGAAUUUAUUAGAGACAUUGUUAAGAAGAUAUCAGCAAAACUAUGUCAGACAUAUCCAGUUACUCAUAGCGACUUGGUUGGUAUUAGUGAACGCUUGGAGGAUUUUUAUUUGAAAAUAAACAUUGGGGAAGAUGAUGUCCGCUUUAUCGGAAUUUGCGGAAUGGGUGGCAUCGGUAAAACGACACUCGCAAGAGUUGCUUACACUCAAAUGUCACCUCAUUUUGAAGGUAAAAGCUUUAUUGCUGAUAUUCGAGAAGUUUCAGACAAAUGCGGACUAGUUUCUUUACAGAAACAACUUCUUUCACAGAUCUUUCAUGGUGAAUGCUUCAACUUUUUCGAUGUUCAUGAAGGGAGUGACAUAAUUAGCCAUAGGUUGUCUCACAAAAAGGUUCUUGUUGUUCUUGAUAAUGUUGAUAACAUACAACACUUAAAAUGCUUGGUUGGAAGGCACGAUUGGUUCGGAUUAGGAAGUAGAAUCGUUGUAACAACAAGAGAAGAACAUUUGCUUCGAUCUUGGCCAGUUGAUGAUAUGUAUGAGCCCACAACAUUGAAUCCCAAAGAUGCGCUUCAACUUUUCAGUCUGAAAGCUUUUCAUAGUGAUACAGUGCAGAAAGAUGAUUUCAUUGAGCUUUCUAAACAUGUUGUAAAUUAUGCUGGUGGGCUCCCUUUAGCUCUUGAAGUUUUGGGUUCCUUUCUGUGCGGUAGAGAUGCGACUCAAUGGAGAAGUGCGAUUGAAAGACUUAAAAGAGAUUCUAAUAAAGAAAUUCUGGAUAAACUUCGAAUCAGUUUUGAUGGAUUGGAAGAAAGGGAGAAGAAUAUAUUUUUAGAUAUAGCAUGCUUCUUCAAUGGGGAGAAGAAAGAUUUUGUAAUCAAAGUAUUGGAUGGUUGUGAGUUUUUUCCUGAUAUUGGAAUUGAUGUUCUUGUUAAAAAAUCUCUCGUAAAAGUCAAUAAACACAACAAAAAUUUGAAGAUGCAUGACUUGUUGCAAGAAAUGGGAAGAACAAUUGUUAAAGAAAAAUGUGUUGAUGAACCUGGAAAACGUUGUAGAUUGUGGGAGGAAAGGGACGUCCAUCAUGUCCUAACAAAAAACACUGUAAGUCAUUUAACAAAAGUUACAUACUAUUUCUUUUCUAUCCUACAUUAUUCACCAUUUAUUUUAUUUUCUUAUUGUCUGUUCUUGAUUUGUUAGGCUACAGAAAUGAUUGAAGGCAUAAUCAUCGAUAAUAAAAUGUAAGAAGACACACAUAAACUUAUAUCUAUGUGUACUGUAAAUAAUUAUUAUUUUUAAAUAUGAUAAAAAAACCUACAGCAAAACUUUUGACAUUCAAUAUUUCAAUGUUUAAUUAUGAAAUUUAUCUAGCAACAUAUUUACUUUUUCAAAAGAGAAAUGUAUGUAUCUUUUUUGAAAAUUAAUGGUAUAUAUUUAAUGUACUAAAAGUGUAUAUCAACGAAUUAGAUUAUAACACGUCAUCAAAAUUUUUUAAUGAAAAUGGUUUCAUUUUUUAAUUAUGUGUCAUUGUUUGAUUCAUUAACUUGUAAAUUAUGCAUUGUUUGUGGACCAAAUAUAAAUCAACAUAUUAAUUCAAUUUUUUAGGAUUAGGUAAUUUAACAUCGGAUGUGAUUGUUAGAUAUAAGUAUCACUUUAAUAUGAGUAUAUUUAAAAAAACUAAAAAUUAUUUUUUUCACGUAUUUAAAAGGUUCUUAAAGGAUCAUAUCUUAAUACUCAUAUACGAAUGUGCAUUAGAUAUAAGUAUUGGAUACGAGUACUUAAAAAACCAACAUCAAUGAAACAUUUCUUUUAAAUAUUGAAUGUUUUCGUAUAUUUUGAAGCUCAUUUUUGUUUUGCUCAUGGAUAUUAGGGAAUCGAACAAGAUGCUCAAUUUGAGUGUGGAUACCUUCUUGAAGAUGAAAAAAUUGAGAUUGCUCAAAGUGCUUUGCCUUUCGAAUUGUAAUGAUCUCAAAUAUCUUUCAAAUGAACUACGACUUUUGGAUUGGACAGGAUACCUUUUAAGAUACUUGCCUUCAAGCUUUCAACCGGACAACCUUGUCGCACUUCUUUUGCCAUAUAGUCACAUUCAACAACUAUGGAAGGGAAAUAGAGUAAGAAUUAACUCAUCUUAUCCUUGUGUUUUAACUUAUUUUAAUAUAAAUUAUUAAACUUUGAUUAAGGUAAAACAAAAAAACAAAAAUGAGCAUUAUUACGUUUUCUCAUUUGUUUCUAAUUUAUUAUGGUCUUCAACAGCCCUUGUUUAACUUGAAAAUAAUGAACCUCAGAGGGUCUCAAAACCUGAUCAAGACACCAGACUUCACAACAGCAUCAAAUCUUGAAGUUUUGAUUUUGGAAGGUUGUACCAAAUUAGUGGAUGUUCAUCCAUCAAUCGGGGUGCUUAAGAGCCUUAAACUUUUGAAUUUAAGAGAUUGCAAAAGUCUUAGGACUCUUCCAACAAAAAUUGGAAUGGAAUCUCUUGAAACAUUCAUUCUUUCGGGUUGCUCAAGUCUUGUAAGGUUUCCGGAGAUUGAUGGGAAAAUGGAACGUCUAAAAACUCUAGAUCUUUUCGGUUGUUAUAGAGUGGAAAACUUAUCGGAGAAUUUGCAGCAAGCAAAGUUUUUGGAAGAGCUCGACUUAAGUGAAACAGCCAUAACAGAACCACCAUCCUUCAUUUUUCAAUUUAAAAAUCUUAAAGUUCUGUCUUUCAAUGGGCGCAAGGGACCAUCAUAUAAGUUGCUACCAAAUUUGCCUUCUCUUUUCAAGGUAAUCCAAGGAAGAAGGACGAAUCCCAUGGCUCGGAUGUUGCCUUUGUUGUCAAGUUUGAGUUCUUUAAGAGAGCUAAAACUAAGGGACUGCAAUCUCCGUGAAGGAGAUAUUCCACGUGAUAUUUCUGGUCUAUCCUGUUUGGAAAAACUUGAUCUUAGUGGUAACAAUUUCAUCNNNNNNNNNNNNNNNNNNNNNNNNNNNNNNNNNNNNNNNNNNNNNNNNNNNNNNNNNNNNNNNNNNNNNNNNNNNNNNNNNNNNNNNNNNNNNNNNNNNNNNNNNNNNNNNNNNNNNNNNNNNNNNNNNNNNNNNAGUGGUAACAAUUUCAUCAGCAUACCUGCAUCUCUUACUGGACUCUCAAAGCUUCAUGUUCUUGACUUGUCAAAUUGCAACGUGUGC